GUGUAUCCGGUUGGACCCAUACUCAACACCCAAAUGGGAUCUGGUGGGGGUCAACAAGAUGCUAGUGUCAUCAUGAGCUGGCUUGACGAUCAGCCUCCAUCGUCAGUUGUUUUCCUGUGCUUCGGGAGCAGGGGAACCUUUGGUGCGGAUCAGAUCAAGGAGAUAGCGUAUGGGCUAGAGCACAGUGGGCAUCGCUUCUUGUGGUCCCUUCGCCAACCUCCCCCAAAGGGUAAAAUGGAUUUUCCAAGCGACUAUGAAAGUAUUGAGGAAGUUCUACCAGAAGGAUUUUUACAUCGGACAGCUAGAAUUGGAAAGGUGAUUGGAUGGGCUCCACAAGCAGCGGUUUUAUCCCACUCAGCUGUUGGAGGAUUUGUAUCUCAUUGUGGAUGGAAUUCUUUGCUAGAAAGCGUAUGGUAUGGCGUUCCAGUAGCCACUUGGCCAAUAUAUGCAGAACAACAAAUCAACGCAUUUCAAAUGGUGAAAGAUUUGGGGUUGGCGAUAGAAAUUAAAAUAGAUUACAAUAAGGAUAGUGAUUAUGUUGUAAGUGCUCAUGAGAUUGAAAAUGGAUUAAGGAACCUAAUGAAUAUUGAUAGUGAAGUGAGGCAGAAGAGGAAAGAAAUGCAAAAAAUAAGUAGAAGAGUCAUGAUAGAUGGUGGGUCCUCGCACUUUUCUUUAGGCCAUUUUAUUGAAGACAUGGUGGCUAACAUUCCAUGCAAGCAACAAAGACGUGAUACCUAAUGUAUGAAUUAGUUUAUACUAAUAUGAAAUAAAAAGGUGCAUUGUAGGCUCUAAUAAAUUAAUUUAUCAUCUCCUUUAUUUGAAUGCUCAAAUAUUUCUUUGAUGAUGUCAAGAAAUUUGACCUUUCAAACUAGGAAAUGUGUUCUUUCUUUAUUAUUUAGUGAAACAAGUUUACAAGGGCAUGAAUUUAGUUAUAUGUGGAUCUCAUUGAUCAAUGAAUACACAAUUGAGCAUUUUCCUGUAGGAAGCUGGACUAGUGAUAAAAUCAACUAUAUAACUAAAAAUCCACAAACCCUAUUGAAUUUGGUUUGAUGGGGAUGAAUAGAUAUAAGAAUUUUUAUAAGAAUUUGUUCAAUUGGAUCACUAUUAAUUUGAUGCUUGCCUUCAGAUUAGAGACAACUAUCCACUUGAGAAAUUUAAUUAAUUUCUGGGCAGUGUUUAUCUUCUUUUCUACAAGCAUGAUGCUCGAAGAGCAAAUUAAUGUUCUCAAACUAUUUGGUGUGUUGGUAUGGAUUUAAGAAACUAACGUCUCAUCAAUGCAUAUCAAGGCAUCUACGCAUGUGAGAGAUCAAUAGAUUCAAAAUGAUUCUAAUUGGAGCAUUUUUGAAUUAAGAGGUAUUACCUUGAGUCUUGUGAGAAAGAAAAUAAGUAGAUGAAGAAGGUAAUUGCUAUUAUGGAGAUGAGGAUUUAGAAUUAUAAGUUCUUUAGAUUUGAUUAUGGAGAGAGUUGGCAGAAUAUAAUUUUUUUUUAAUAAGAAAAUUACUAAGAGAUGUGAAAAAAGUCUUUAAAAAAAUGAUAAUAAUAAUUUAAACACGAAAAUGAUUAUGUAUAUAGUAUUGAAUUAUCAAUUUGUCCUUUCCUUUCUUUUAAUGAAAAAUAAAUACAUAUGAAAAUUGAUAAUUGAAGUUGUUAUUCAAUCAUCUAAAGAUUAGCUUAGAUGGAAUAUAUUGUAAUGAUCUACUCCUAAUCGUGUAAAUAUUGUUUACUUUGAGUCCAACCUGUCAUAUCCCAUAAGAUUAGGGUGGUCAAACAAAUUUUCACACUGGGGGAUCAAGGAUCAACUUUGAUACUAUUUGUAAUGGCUCACUCCCAAUAGUAUAGAUAUUAUCUUCCCAAUUGUAAAUAUUGUUCAUUCUAAACCCAAAAAUCUUUCAUAGCUUUAAAACGUGUGUAUAAAAUUAAAAAGAGCUUAUACAUAUAUGAUGUUAGGAUUUUUUUUCCUCAUUUGAUGAAAGAUACCACAUGUAUUCCCUCAAAAUACUGAUUCCAAUUAGAUGUGAAGAGGAACCAUUUAGUAUUAGAAAGAAAAGAAAUACAUAGAUGGUAAUAUGUAUUAUUUCUAUUCCUUAGUCUUGUUGCAAGGACACUCAUUGCUAUAUAAUAUAUAUAUAUAUUUUUAAAGAACUUUGAAAAUUAAUUUUUUUAUAUACAAAAUUAACUUAUAAUUAAAAUAAAAUCAUUUAUAAUACAAAUAUUGGAUUGAUAAAUAAUUAUAUAAGUAAUUAUCUUAAUUUAGCUCAAUUUUAAGUCUUAAAAUUUCACUUAAAUCUUACAUGGAUAAAUAGAAAUAAUAACUUCUAUACAAAAAAUAAAAAAUUUUAUAGAAAAAAUUGAAAGCUUAUCUUAUUUUCUUUCUAUAACUAAAAUUCGAGUGAACAAAAAAUUGUUAACUUCAAAUUUUUAAGCUAUUUUAAGAUAAAUCUCUAUUAUUUACCUAAGAACUCAUACUAUCUUUAAUUUUCAAAAAUAAAAAUAUAUCCAAAUGUGCACUUAAAUUUUGUAGAAAAUGAACCUUGAGCAAACUCUCCUAAUCACAUUAUUUUAUCAUUUACCCAAAGAUUUAUGCUUAUCAAAAAUCAAUCAACCACAUUGAGAAUUGAUAAUUUUAGGUAACUAGUAACAUGUGCAAUCAGAAGAAAGUCAAUGAAGAGUACAUAUAUUCACAUCUCUUCUUUUUUGAAUUCCUCAAAAGACAUCAUCCAUGAGCUCAUUAAUCACACCCAUAAAACAAUGAACAAGAAGAGACCAAGAAAAGAUCAUAUUGUAGGCACAUCGCCAAAAGGUUUGUUGAAAUAACUUAUACCUUCACCCUCUGAGCUCUAGAAUAGUGUCGAAAAGAACAACCUAAUCUUUCUUUCCUUUGUCUGAACUACUUUUUACCAAGAUCCCAAAGCCUUAGAUGCUAUUUAUAUUUGGACUUAGAGAAUACUUAAAAAUAAAUAGCCCAACUAUGGGCUUAGAGAACUUUUCAAGGGUUGGAUAAACAUAGCUCAACAAAAUUAGCUUAAAAUAACCUUUAAAAUUACCCAUUCAAGAUCUAUCAAAUCAAAAGAAAAAUAAAAUAAAACUUUUGGAAACCUUUUCUAUGCAAAAAUUUCAAAAAAAAAAUUUAUAUAAAAAAUUGAAAACUUAUCUUAUAUGCUUUCUAUAACUGAAAUUUUGAGUGAACAAAAAACUAUAAAAUUCAAAAUUUUCAUCUAUUUUUCAUAACAUUUAUUUUUAAGAUAAAUCUCUAUUAUUUAUAUAACAACUUAUACUAUCUUUUAUUUUCAAAAAUAAAAAAUUUAUUCAAAGUCCACUUAAAUUUUGUUGAUAAUGAACCUUGAGCAAACUCUCAUGGUCACAUUAUUUAAUCAUUUACCUAAAGAUUUAUGCUUAAAGAAAAUCAAUCAACCACAUUCAGAAUUGAUAAUUCUAAGUAGUUAGUAACACAUGGAGUCACAAUUCCAUACAACAAAUACAUAUAUAUAGAAAAAUUUGAAAUCUUAUCUUAUAUGCUCUUUAUAACUAAAAUUUCGAGUGAACCAAAAACUUUUAAAUUCAAAAUUUUAAGCUAUUUAAAAGUUGUUUAUGUUUAAGAUAAAUCUCUAUUAUUCAUAUAAGAACUCAUACUAUCUUUUUAUUUUCAAAAAUAAAAAAUGUUUUGAAAGUCCACUUAAAUUUUGUAGAAAAUGAACCUUGAACAAACUCUCUCAAUCAAAUAAUUUUAUCAUUUACCUAAAGAUUUAUACUUAUAAAAAACCAAUUAACCGCAUCGAGAAAUGAUAAUUCUGGAUAGCUAGUAACACAUGGAAUCACAAGAAAGAUGAUGAAGAUUAUGUAUAUUAAUUCUGGUCUCUUCUUUUCUGAAUUCCUCACAAAUCACAUCAAUUGGUCUUUGAUGUUGUCUAUGAGCUCACUUGUCACACCCACAAAACAAUAAAUAGGAAGAGAUCAAGAAGAUCAUACCACAAGGGCUUCCCUAAAAGAUUGAUGAAAGAACUUAUACCUUCACCCUUUGAGCUCCAAAACAAUGCCCAAAAACCAACCUAAUCUUUUUUUUUUUUUCCCUUUUUCUGAACUAUUUCAUCAAGAUCUAAAUGCCCUAGAUGUUAUUUAUAUUUGAACAUAGAGAAUACCUAAAAUAAUCAAUCCAACGCAUGGGCGGGAUAAACUUAGCUCAAUAAAUUUGGCUUAAUAUUAACCCUUAAAGUUACCCAUUCAUGGUCUAUUAAUGAAUAUAAAUAAAAAUUUUUGAAAACCUUUUCAAUACAAAAAAUAAAAGAUUUGAUAACAAAAAUUGAAAACUCACCUUAUAUGCUUUCUAUAACUGAAAUUUCGAGUGAACAAAAAACUAUUAACUUCAACUUUUUCAGCUAUUUUUAAAAUUAUUUAUUUUUAAUAUAAAUCUCUAUUAUUUAUAUAAACACUCGUACUAUCUUUUAUUUUCAAAAAUAAAAAAUAUACUCAAAGUCCAAUUAAAUUUUGUAGAAAAUGAAUCUUGAGCAAACUCUCUCGACCACGUUAUUUUAUUAUUUACCUAAACAAUGCUUAUCGAAAAUCAAUCAACCAUGUUGAGAAUUGAUAAUUUUGGGUAACUAGUAACACAUGGAAUCACAAGAAAGUUGAUGAAGUUGUUUUCCUCUCUAAAUUCCUAAAAGCUCACAUGCCACUCAUCCUUGAUGUUGUCAGCUCACUCAUCACACCCAUAAAACAAUAAACAAGAAGAGAUAAGGAAGAUCAUACCGCAACGACUUUCACAAAAGGUUGAUGAAAUAACUUAUACCUUCACCCUUUGAGCUCUAGAAUAGUGUCAAAAAAACAACCUAAUCUUUCUUUCCUUUUUCUAAACUACAUUUUACCAAGAUCCAAAAGCCCUAAAUUUUAUUUAUAUUUGGACAAAGAGAAUACCUAAAAUAAAUAGCCUAAUGCAUGGGCUUAGAAAUAAACUAAGCUCAACAAAUUUAGCAUAUAAUAUUAACCUUAAAAUUACCCAUUCAAGGUUUAUUAAAUCAAAAUCAAAAUAAUUUUUCAAAAACCUUUUCUAUACAAAAAAUGAAAAAUUUGAUAGAAAAUUUUCAAAGCCUAUGUUAUAUGCUUUCUAUAACUAAAGUUUCAUGUGAACAAAAAAUUGCUAACUUCAAAAUUUUAAGCUAUUUUAAAAAUUAUUUAAUUUUAAAAUAAAUCACUAUUAUUUCUAUAAGAACACAUAUUAUCUUUUAUUUUCAAAAAUGAAAAAUGUAAAGUCCACUUAAAUUUUGUAGAAAAUGAACCUUGAGCAAACUUUCCUGGUGACAUUAUUUUAUCAUUUACUUACAAAUUUAUGUUUACCAAAAAUCAAUCAACGAACUGAGAAUUGAUAAUUCUAGGUAGCUAGCAAAAUAUAGAAUCACAAGACAACUGAUGAAGAGUAUGUAUAUUCUGGUCUCUACCUCUCUGAAUUCCUCAAAGCACACAUAUCACUUAUCAAAGAUGUAAUCCAUGAACACGCUCGUCACACCCAUAAAACAAUCAAUAAGAAGAGAUCAUACUAUAAGGGUUUCCCCAAAAGAUUGGUGAAAGAACUUAUACCUUAACCCAUGUAGCUCUAAAGCAAUGCCUAGAAAACAACCUAAUUUUUCUUUCUUUUUUUUGCACCCAUUUUCACCAAGAUCCCAAAGGCCUAGGUGUUAUUUAUAUUUAGACUUACAGAAUUCCUAAAACAAAUUAAUAGGCAAAUGCAUGGGAGGAGAAAACUUUUCAUGGGCAGGAUAAACUUAGCUCAACAAAUUAAGCUUAAUAUUAAACCUUAAAAUUACCAUUCAACAUGUAUUACAUAAAAAUAAAAUAAAAUUUUUCGAAAACCAUUUGUAUACAAAAAAUAAGAAAAUUUAGAGAAAAGAUUGAAAACUUAUAUUAUAUGCUCUUUAUAACUAAAAUUUCAAGUGAACUAAAAAAUGUCAACUUCAAAUUUUUAAGCUAUUUUUAAAAUUAGUUAUUUUUAAGGCAAAUCUCUAUUAUUUAUAUAAGGACUAAUACUAUCUUUUAUUUUUAAAAAUAAAAUAUGUAUUUAGAGUUCAUUAAAAUUUUGUAGAAAAUGAAUCUUCAGGGAAACUCUCCUGGUCACAUUAUUUUAUCAUUUUCCUAAAGAUUUAAGCUUAUUGAAAAUCAAUUAACCACACUGAGAAUUAAUAAUUCUGGGUAGCUAGUAACACAUGGAAUCACAAGAAAGCUAAUGGAGACUAUGUAUAUUCUGGUAUCUUACUUUUUGAAUUCCUCAAAUCUCGCACACUAAUCAUCAAAGAUGGCGUCCAUGAGUUCACUCGUCAGGCCCCAUGAAACAAUGAACAAGAAGAGAUUAGGUAGAUCAUACCGUAGGGGCUUCCCCUAAAUGUUGAUGAAAGAACUCAUACCUUCACCCUUUGUGCUCUGGAACAAUGCCCAGAAAACAAUGUAAUUUUUCUUUUCUUUUCCUGAAACACUUUUAACAAAGAUCCAAAAGCCCUAGAUGCUAUUUAUAUUUGGACAUAGAGAAUAACUAAAAGAAAUAGUCCAAUGCAUAGGCUUAGAAAACUUAAAUAGUUAUCAAAGAGUUGUUAACACAUUAUCUAUAAUACAAAUGUCAACCACAACACUUAAAUAGUUACUCAAAAUAUAACAUGUCAAUAUUUGAGUAUUCAUGAAGAGUUUUUCAUACUAAUAAAUAUAAAAUUCAUGUCUUUAUUCAUUUUGAAAAUUGGGAUAUGGUGAUUCAAAUUGAGCAUUUGAAAAACCAAAGUUCUCCAAAUCAACCACUUCUAGAGUCAUGUCACCACCAUCCUCGUCAUCUACAAAAAUAUUAAAUAUAUAUUAACAAGAGAUCAUUUUUAAAGAAAAAAAUAGUAAUUGUUGAACUUUUAUAAGUUUACAUAUUCUACUAAUCAAUGAGAGCUUGCAGCUGAACUUGAACCUUCUACUUCAUUUAUUGGAAUUAAUCAUUCUUCAUAUAGAAGAUUUUCUAAUUCUUCCACAUCUAGCUCUCUUGGCUCAUCCUCAUCAACUAAACAAAAAUCAGUUUCAUCAAUACAUAAUCAAUGGGAUCAUAGGUCAUUUUCUUGUUGUACAACCUAAAAAAGAAAAACAUAUAAUUAUUCAUAAUUGUCAAUGAAAAAUUUUAAAUUCAAAACAACUAAGAAAGUAUUUACAUUGAAUUUGUAGCCACAAAUUGUAAUGAACGUAUACAAGAUCAUUAAGUCUUUCAUUUUUCAAUCUAUUCCUUUUUUUGGUAUAUGUGUAUAUGUUCAAACACACUCCAAGUCCUCUCACAUCCAAAAGAAGAUGAAGUUUGACUCAAUAUUUGAAUGACCAACUUUUGAAAAUAUGGUGCAUUAUAUCCAUGUAGCCUCUAUUAUUCAUCUAGUUACUAUUUUCACAUUAAAAUAAGGGAAAAAAAAAAACAACUUCAAUUCAUUCAUCGUUUCAUGCUUUCCUUUCAUAACUUUUUGAUUAAUAACAUCUAUGACAUCUCCAAUAACUUCUUGCUUAUUACAAUUUUUUUUUUUUUAUCAUAUUGGAAACAUGGAUUCAACCAAUAAGCUACUGAAUGAAUGCUUUUCUUUGGUUGUUCAUCCUAACGUUCCUUUAUGAUCUGUGUAUAAGGCUUGUAUAGUCUUUUAUUGUGUUUAAAUAAUUUCUUGAUACCCAAACGAGCAUUAUAAAUGCCUUUAUACACAUAUCCCAUCGAAGGCCUCUCAUCACAAUCAACAAUAUGUAAUAAGAGCACACGUGGAGCAAUGAGAUUCAUAACUAUCAAACAAUCAUUUCAAAAUCUAUUAUCCAAGAUGAUAGAAACUACAACUCUGCUUUUAUUAUCCAUUAAAUAUUUAGAGUCCACAAAAAACUUGCUAGUCACCAAAGCUUGCAAGUCAUGUUUAUGAUCAUGAAGACUCUUUACUGCAAUGAAUGCAGUAGCAAAGUGAGUUGCACUAGGUUGAAGAAUCUCUAUCCAUCCUUCUCUUUUUCUCAACCAACUUAACAAAGCAACAUGAUUACACACAAAAAUUGUCACCUUUGAUGCAUGUCUUACAAGUUCAGCAACAUAGUCCAUCUUACUAAUAUCCUUAAAGAUCAAAUUAAGACAAUAAGUUGUACAAGGUGACCAAUUGAUUUGUUUAUACUUCUAAGAAAUCAAUCUCCUUAAGACCACAUAAUUUGUUGCAUUAUCAGUCACUACAUGAACUACAUUGAGUGAACCAACCCAUUCAAUCCCUCAUCAAAUAGCAUAAACAAAGUAGUUGCAUCAUUCACAAUAUUCGAAGCAUCAACAGAUUUCACAAACGAUAUUCCUUGAGGACAGUAAACAAUGUUCAUUGUUUGUUAUCUGUCCAACAUCACCCAUUAUUAUACACCCAAUUUUUACCCAAAUUUUACAAUAAGAAUUCACAAGUAACUGAACUUCCUUCUUGGCAUCCUUUAAAUUAUUAAACCAUAGUUGAAGGUAAGUUGAACCCUUAUAUCCAAGACAAAUUACGAAUAUAGCAUCCAACAUUGGCGUGAAGUAGAAGGAAUUCACAACAUUAAUAAGAACGCAUGCAUCAUAAAAGAAUCUCUCAACAACCAUAUCUACUCUCCAAAUAGCUUAUUUCCUAGCUAAUACACUCCUAAUGGAAGGUUGAGCUCCUUAAGUAGUUCUUGGUGCAAAAUACUUAUCCAUUGUUGAUUUUUUUCUUUUUCCACUAUAGUUGCCAUAGGAUUUUACAUAUCUUGAACCUCUUCUCCACAUUUUGGCAUAUCCCCUUCAAAUUGUGACACCUUAAGACCAUAAUUCAUAUGUUUCUUGGAUUUCACAAACUCCUACAAAGAAUUUUCCAUUUGAAAUCUACAUUAGGAGGAAUUGAUUUACAUGGACCAAUAUAUUGUUUCACUCCAACAAGGUGUUGUUUCCGUUUUAUGAAUUCCCCUACCUUUUGCAACUUUUUUACAAUAUAAACAAACAAGAACUUUCCUUCCAUUUGUAUUUUUUUCUUUAGAAACAUGCUCCUAUGUAGGGUUGGUGUUGUCUCUACUUGUUUGUGAAUUUGUAUUUGAAUCUUGACCAGAGGAUGGGGUCAAGUUUGAUUCCAUUUUGAUUUUUCUAUAAAAUUGUAAACAAAAACAACAAUUUUAAUCACCAUUCAAUGCAUUCAUCAAUAAAAAAAUAUGACUUCAAUCAAGUCAUCCACAAUUUAAAAAAAAAUAAAAGAAUUAAAGAAUUUAUUAUAGAAAAUUCUUUCAAAAUCAGAAAUUUACUUUCAAAUAAAAAAUUUAUUUAAAAUAUAAAAAUAAUAUUUUUAUUUAAAAAUUAGAAAAUUUAAAUUUAUUUAAAAUUAUCUAAAAAACGCAACAUAAUGUUUGAUUCAUUGAUUAUUUCCAAAAAAAUUAUUUUAAUUUCUAAUGUUUUUAAUUAUUUUAAUAAUUUAUUUAAACUCAAAUAAGAUAUUUUAAAAAUCAAUAUAAAAUUUAAAAAAAUAAAAUGAAAAUAAAGUAAAGAAAUAAAUAAAUCUAAACAAAUGAUUCAAUUAUUCAAAUGAAAUUUCAAUGAAUAUUGAUAUUGUAAUUUAAUAAAUCAAUAUGCAAUAAAAUUAUAAAAUAUUAAAUAUUAAAUAAAUUAAAUAAAUUGCAAGAUUCCAAAGUUUAAACUCAUAAUGGGAGAUUUGGAAUCCAGUGCGGUCGUCGGCAUGUGGAGGCGAUGGCUUCUCCAAUGUGGUGCAACUAUUGGAGACGUGCGUGCUAGUAAGGAGGGAAGGUAAAAAAAUGGCUUAUAUACAGAGCAAAACGACGUUGUUUCGAUGCCAAAUGCAUCAAAACAACGCUAUUUUGAUGGCAAAAAAAUAAAAAAGGUAUGAACCAUUUAGUUUGGGGGAAACCAGCUGAUUCACCAAUAAGAUCGCUAAUUUCGACGGUUGGAGGCUAGUCCAACCCUUCGACGGUUUAAAUCACCAAAGCAAACCGAAAAAUUGACUGAUCGAAAGUCAAACCAAUUGGAUCGACCGGUCUGAUCCGAUUUCUAAAAUCAUGUUCAUACCUUUAAAAUUUGUUUAGAAAAUUAAGAGAAACUCAUACAUAUAUAGUGUUUGAAACAUUUUUUCCAAUUUGAUGUGGAAUAAAUAUCACAUAUAUUCCCUCAAAAUGUUGAUUCCAAGUAGAUGGGCAAAUGAACAAUUUAGUAUUAAAAAGAAAAAAAAAUACAUGGAUGGUAAUGUGUAUUAAUUCAUUUUUGACUCUUGUUAUAACACCCCACAUUUAUUGUUAGGGCAAAACUGUAAAUUAGAAUAAAAUAUAAAUAAAUAAAUUUAAUAAGGGUAUAAAGACCUUUUUUGCAUUAAAAGUCCUAGUUAUAAAUUAGAUUUUCUUUGUCUUUUUCAUUCAGAAAACCCUAUUAUACAUGGAUGGAAAUUCAAAAAUCAACAAAUCUCAACUUUUAAACCAACAUAUCAACAAUAGAAUUUUUUUGUCCAAGCAAUUUCAAACUUAAAACAAUAGCUAACAGUAAUCAAAUUCUAACAUUUAACAAAGUACCAAAAAGAGAGUUUAAACAAAUGUCUUAAUAAGGCCAAAUUUAUCAUCCUAACUGUCACUCCUCGCCUGAAUUGAGAGUACUUGAAAUAUUAUCAACAAAGGGGAAUGAGCUCAAAACCCAAUAAAGAACAUUAAUGUACAAUUUCAUGGAUCAAAUAGUUUCAAUCAUGCUUACAAAUAGGAGAUAUUAAGUUCAAAUAUUCUAAUACAUUUUCAUCUGUUCAACCAAACAUUUUCAUAUAUAUCAAAACCAUUUCACAUCAAAUCCAAAUCAAACACAUUUAAAAUAUUUUCACUCUUAUUAUCAUAUAACAAAUGGUGCAUAAUUGGGUGAGAUUUUACAAAUGAGUUACUAGUUUCAAAUUAGUUCUAUUUAAGGUGAACAAAACCAAAUGUCAACAAUUACAACCCAUUGCCUAGGGUCGUAUAAUAUCAAUUAUUAUAACCCAUUGACUAGGGUUGAAAAUGUCAACAAUUAUAACUCGUUGACUAGAGUUAUUAAAACUAGAGUCAAACACUUCAUUUCAUUAAUUCAAACUUACAAAACAAAAUCUCAUAUUUCUACAAUUUUUAUCUUUCAUAAACAAAGAAAAUGCUCAAACAUAUUUUUCAUACAAAACAUAUAUUUGAUCCAUGUAUAAAAAUAAAAAUAAAAAUUUUCAUAAAUCAAAAUAAAAUUUAAAAAAAAAUACUUUCUUUUACAAAAUCUAUAUUAAUUUCCCUUACCUCAUAGAAGCACUAAAAAACCUUGAAGUAUUUAAUCCUAAAGAGUUUUGCCCCAAAAAACCUAUUUCAAACUUAACAAAAAAAGACAUAACUAUUACUAUUAACUAUUUAUCUAAAUUUAAGGGCUUGAGAAUCCUAAUAAUUUUAUAUGUUAUGUCAUCUAUAUUAUUUUUAACUUCUUAAUCAAUAACAAUUUAAUACAUAAGUUUCUAAAUUCUUAUAGAAGUUUGAUUCUUUCCAAAAUUUAUUCCUAAGAUUCUAUUAAUUUAUUAUUAUUUUUUUAAAAUUAAAUUUCUCAAAAAUAUAUUUUUUCUAUUUAUUACAUUAAACUAUUAUUAUUAUUAUUACUAAUAUUUCAUUUAUUAGCUUAAAAUUAAAUAUUAUUAGUUUUAUUAAUUUUCAGAUUCAUUACAUAACCAACGCAUUACCCUCUAUAUUCAGUGCAUACACAAAACCCAAAAUAAAAACAAGUUUUCUUCCUACUGUCAUCAUUAUCAUUUAUUAUUAUAAUACUUUUUAUUUUCAACAUCUAACUUCCUUUCCGGUGCACACGCUUUUUCUUUCUCUUUUGUUUUUUUUCUUCUCAAGCCUACACUACACUGCCACUCCACGUCCCCUCAUGUCUUCUAUUUAUUUAUUUAUUAUUAUUAUUAUAAUCCAUUUGUUUUCCUUUUCAAAAACAAUCUCGUGGUCAAUGAUUCAUUUUUCUUUCUUAUAUUUUUUUUUUUCCUCAAUCUAAAGCCGACAUAACUGAACUAUUUUAUUUAUUUAGUUAUUUAUUUCGUUUAAACCUAUAAUUUAUUUUCUUCUAUUUGUAUUUAUUUAUUUUAUCUAUGCAGUUGAAUAUUCAAAAUUUUCUUAUCUUCAUUAAUAAAUUAAUCUAUAUUGAUAAAUUUUUAAUAUUUUAAUCUAAAAAAAAUUAAAUAAACAAAUUAUAAUUUAGAUUGAAAUCUUUUAAAGAAUUUUUAAACGAAUCAAAACUAAUUAAUGAAUUUAAAAUAAUAAUCUAAAUAUUAAAAUUUUAUUUAAAAAAUUUGGAACUUUUAAAUCUUUAUCUCUAGGUUUUUCAAUUCUUAAGAUAAAAGAGUUUUACUCAAGAGAAAAAAUAAAGAAAAUCUAAUUUAUAGGUAAAAUUUUUAAUAAGGAAAAGAUUUUUUUAUCAUUAUUAAAUUAAUUAUUUUUUAAUUAUGAUUUUAGCCUUGGAUUUGGUGCAUUACAGAAAAUUUUUAAAAGGGUAAGAAAUUUUUAUUCAUUAAAUUUUUUUUAAAAAAACUUCAAACCUUGACUUUACAAAUUUUGGCCCAUAAAUCGAAGAACUUUAUGUGGAAGGUGUAGCUAUCCGAACCCUUCCUCGAGGGAACGUGAAUCAUGUCCUGCACCCACAUGAUUGAUGUGACCGAUGAGUUUGGGGUGCCUUCCUAUCUCUUCUUCCCUCCCAGUGCUGCUUUUCUUGGCUUCCUGUUGCAUCUGGCAGUUCCUCCAUGAUUAUGAGGGCUUGGAUAUUAAUGAGUUCAAGGACUCGGAUGCUGAGUUGGAGGUUCCAAGUUUUGCUAACUCAGUUCCGGGUAAGGCCUUUCCUUCUUUGAUGAUUGACAAGGAAAGUGGAGGGGCCGAGAUGCUUCUUCAUCACACGAGGAGAUUCAGACACGUCAAGGGUAUUCUGGUAAAUACAUUUAUUGAGCUUGAAUCACAUGCUAUUCAAUCACUUUCUGGCAGUACAGUACCCGUAGUGUAUCCGGUUGGACCCAUACUCAACACCCGAAGGGGAUCUGAUGGGGGUCAACAAGAUGCUAGUGCCAUCAUGAGCUGGCUUGAUGAUCAGCCUCCAUCAUCCGUGGUUUUCCUGUGCUUCGGGAGCAUGGGAAGCUUUGGUGCGGAUCAAAUCAAGGAGAUAUCACAUGCGUUAGAGCACAGUCGGCAUCGCUUCUUGUGGUCCCUUCGCCAACCUCCCCCAAAGGGUAAAGUGAUUACAAGCGACUAUGAAAAUAUUGAGCAAGUUCUACCAGAAGGAUUUUUACAUCGGACGGCUAGAAUUGGAAAGGUGAUUGGAUGGGCUCCACAAAUAGCGGUUUUAGCCCACUCAGCUGUUGAAGGAUUUGUAUCUCAUUGUGGAUGGAAUUCUUUACUAGAAAGCAUAUGGUAUCGUGUUCCAGUAGCCACAUGGCCAAUAUAUGCAGAAUAACAAAUCAACGCAUUUCAAAUGGUGAAAGAUUUGGGGUUGACGGUAAAAAUUAAAAUUGAUUACAAUAAGGAUCAUGAUCAUAUUGUAAGUGCUCAUUGUAGGGACCCCUCCCCUUGGGAAACACGUGGCACGCGGCUCAUGGUGACGCGUGGCACGUACUAUCGGCCGGACCAUCAUCAUCCGGAUUCCCCUACAGAUAUGUAUGGUGCGGCUAUCCUAUCCGGAACCCCAAAGGAAAGACAAACAACGUUUCAGCUUCUCCUAUCCAAGGAAGAGCAAACGACGCUGGCAGAGCGUAGACACCCGGAUAGUCUCCACAAACACAUCCGGAUAUUCAGCAUGAUCCAUCCGGAUAUAAAUCGUCUGGAUGAUCAAUUAAAGUAAAGCGAGUCUUACACGCAAUCACAACAAGCAGCCAUGGCCCACAUCCCAUCACCUGCAGAAUGAGAAGACAAGAGGAAGUGACAGCAAGUCACUUCCCACGAUCAUUCUACAUAAUCGCUUCCCACGAUCUCUGACAGCCGCAUCAUCUACCAUGGUCUCUGACAGCCAUUCGUAGGAUGAUAGUGCUCCUACUAACACCUAUUGUCAUCAUCACAACAGAAAAUAUCUCCCCACCAUUAAUGAGAGGAACAGUACCCCUGAAGCUGUAUAUAUAUGACUUCACACGAAGAAGAAAGGGAUGAUCUCCUAGUAACCUCUUGAUACCUAGUAAAAGGCCAACUGCCUCAUAUAUCUUAUUCUCUUACUAUGGCUAACAACAUCAUCGGAGGGUGCAUCCGGACACCCUGUCCGGAUGCCUUUUUGCAGGUACAACCACUGAAUCAAGAACCCCUUGUGUGUUGAGAAUCGCGUGUCCAUCCAUCUAGCAGCAACGCGGCCCACCUGAUACGCGAGGUGACAACACUCAUGAGAUUGAAAAUGGAUUAAGGAACCUAAUGAAUACCAACAGUGAAGUGAGGCUGAGGCAAAAGAAGAAAGAAAUGCAAAAAAUAAGUAGAAGAGUCAUGAUAGAUGGUGGGUCCUCGCACUUUUCUUUAGGCCAUUUUAUUGAAGACAUGGUGGCCAACAUUUCAUACAAGCAACAAAGUCGUGAUACCUAUUGUAUGAAUUAUUUUGUACUAGUAUGAAAGGAAAAGGUGCAUUGUAGGCUCUAAUAAAUUAAUUUAUCAUAUGCUUUAUUUUAAUGCUCAAAUAAUUUCUUUGAUAAAGUCAAGAAAUUUGACCUUUCAAACUAGGAAAUGUGUUAUCUCUUUAUUAUUUAGUAAAACAAGUUUACAAGUGAAUGAAUUUAGUAAUAUGUCGAUCUCAUUGAUCAAUGAAUACACAAUUGAACAUUUUCCGGUACUAGUAAUAAAAUUAACUAUAUAAUUACAAAUCAACAAACCCUAUUGGUUUGAGACAAUCUUCAUAAGUGUUUUUUCUAAAUAUUUUUUAUAUUCUUAUGUGAUUGAAUAUAUUUUGGAUUAUGACUUAUAUAAUUUCUCACAUUCUAAUCAAAAGCAAUAAUUAAAUCUCAAUAAUCAACCUAUAUGAUAACGGAAUCAGUUUAAAUAGGUUUAAAAGUUACUAAUUUAAUAUAUCCUAUUUAUGUACAAAAAAAUUGUGAGUAUUGUCCCGAAAUAUGUUUCUAAUAUCAACAUAACAUUUCUUCCUCAUUUUGUUUGGCUAAUGAAAAGCCAUUAGAAAAAAAAUAUAUAGAUAUUUGAUUAAAAUGAUUAAAAUAGUCUCUAAUUCGAACAAUGCUCUUUUUUUUAAAAAAAAAUAUCGAAAAUGAUAAUAUUUUUUUAAUAAAAAUAUCAUUCAUUUAUGUUAAAGCAAUUUGAAAAAAAGAUAUUUUUAUUCACUUAUAUUUUUUAUUAAUAAAAAUAUCAUUCAUUUAUGUCAAAGCAUUUUAUUUAUUUAUAAGUAUUAAGAUAUUUUUAUUCAUUUAUAAUUUUUAUUUAGAACUUUAAACCAAUAGAAGAUGGCUUUACAAAUUUUGGCCCAAAGAUCCCCAAGAACUUUAUUUGAAAGGUGUAGCAUAUUCGAACCCUUCGUCCAGGGAACAUGAAUCAUAAUUUCGUUGCUGGUUUUAUAUUAAAAUACAUGGGAUACAUCGAGAACCACCCACUUUUGCCUCAAUCUUCAACCAAGACCAACCACAAUCAUACAAAAACGAUAAGGAAAAUAAAUUGAACCAGCAAAGCCCUGACAUCACUUCCUUUGUCCUCCAAUACUAUCCAGCCACAAGUAUAAGAGUGUCACACCACUGCAAAGCCCUCAAAACAUCCCAUUUUUCCUCUCUUUGCAGUAACUGCUAGUUAGUGAUGGAGCAAACUGAGCUGGUCUUCAUCCCAUUUCCUAUCAUCGGCCACCUUACGUCUGCACUGGAGAUUGCAAAGCUGAUUACUCAGCGAGACCCCCGAUUCUCAAUCACGAUCAUCAUCAUGAAGUUUCCGUUUGAGUCCAUUGAUGGUAUGGACACGGACUCUGAUUCCAUACGUUUCGUUACACUUCCUCCUGUAGAGGUCUGCUCCAGUACGACGCCGUCUGGUUUCUUCCUCUCUGAAUUCCUCAAAGCUCACAUCCCAGUCGUCAGAGACGCCAUCCACGAGCUCACUCGCUCCAACUCGGUUCGUCUCGCAGGGUUCGUUAUUGAUAUGUUCUGCACCCACAUGAUCGAUGUGGCCGAUGAGUUUGGGGUGCCUUCCUAUCUCUUCUUCACUUCCAGCGCUGCUUUUCUUGGCUUCCUGUUGCAUCUUCAGUUCCUCCAUGAUUAUGAGGGCUUGGAUUUCAAUAAGUUCAAGGACUCGGAUGCUGAGUUGGAUGUUCCGAGUUUCGCGAACUCAGUUCCGGGUAAGGUCUUCCCUUCUCGGAUGUUUGACAAGGAAGGCGGAGGGGCUGAGACGCUUCUUUAUCACACGAGGAGAUUCAGAGAAGUCAAAGGUAUUCUGGUAAAUACAUUUAUUGAGCUUGAAUUACAUGCUGUUCGAUCACUUUCUGACAGUACAGUACCCGAGGUGUAUCCCGUUGGACCCAUACUCAACACCCGAAUGGGAUCUGGUGGGUGUCAACAAGAUGCUAGUGCCAUCAUGAGCUGGCUUGAUGAUCAGCCUCCAUCGUCAGUUGUUUUCCUGUGCUUCGGGAGCAGGGGAACCUUUGGUGCGGAACAGAUCAAGGAGAUAGCGUAUGGGCUAGAGCACAGUGGGCAUCGCUUCUUGUGGUCCCUUCGCCAACCUCCCCCAAAGGGUAAAAUGGAUUUUCCAAGCGACUAUGAAAGUAUUGAGGAAGUUCUACCAGAAGGAUUUUUACAUCGGACAGCUAGAAUUGGAAAGGUGAUUGGAUGGGCUCCACAAGCAGCGGUUUUAUCCCACUCAGCUGUUGGAGGAUUUGUAUCUCAUUGUGGAUGGAAUUCUUUGCUAGAAAGCGUAUGGUAUGGUGUUCCUGUGGCCACUUGGCCAAUCUAUGCAGAGCAACAAAUCAACGCAUUUCAAAUGGUGAAAGAUUUGGGGUUGGCCACAGAAAUUAAAAUAGAUUACAAUAAGGAUAAUGAUUAUGUUGUAAGUGCUCAUGAGAUUGAAAAUGGAUUGAGGAACCUAAUGAAUAUUGAUAGUGAAGUGAGGCAAAAGAGGAAAGAAAUGCAAAAAAUAAGUAGAAGAGUCAUGAUAGAUGGUGGGUCCUCGCACUUUUCUUUAGGCCAUUUUAUUGAAGACAUGGUGGCUAACAUUCCAUGCAAGCAACAAAGACGUGAUACCUAAUGUAUGAAUUAGUUUAUACUAAUAUGAAAUAAAAAGGUGCAUUGUAGGCUCUAAUAAAUUAAUUUAUCAUCUCCUUUAUUUGAAUGCUCAAAUAUUUCUUUGAUGAUGUCAAGAAAUUUGACCUUUCAAACUAGGAAAUGUGUUCUUUCUUUAUUAUUUAGUGAAACAAGUUUACAAGGGCAUGAAUUUAGUUAUAUGUGGAUCUCAUUGAUCAAUGAAUACACACUUGAGCAUUUUCCUGUAGGAAGCUGGACUAGUGAUAAAAUCAACUACAUAACUAAAAAUCCACAAACCCUAUUGAAUUUGGUUUGAUGGGGAUGAAUAGAUAUAAGAAUUUUUAUAAGAAUUUGUUCAAUUGGAUCACUAUUAAUUUGAUGCUUGCCUUCAGAUUAGAGACAACUAUCCACUUGAGAAAUUUAAUUAAUUUCUGGGCAGUGUUUAUCUUCUUUUCUACAAGCAUGAUGCUCGAAGAGCAAAUUAAUGUUCUCAAACUAUUUGGUGUGUUGGUAUGGAUUUAAGAAACUAACGUCUCAUCAAUGCAUAUCAAGGCAUCUACGCAUGUGAGAGAUCAAUAGAUUCAAAAUGAUUCUAAUUGGAGCAUUUUUUAAUUAAGAGGUAGCUACCUUGAGUCUUGUGAGAAAGAAAAUAAUUAGAUGAAGAAGGUAAUUGGUAUGGAGAUGAGGAUUUAGAAUUAUAAGUUCUUUAGAUUUGAUUAUGGAGAGAGUUGAGAGAAUAUAAUUUUUUUUUUUAUAAGAAAAUUACUAAGAGAUGUGAAAAAAGUCUUUAAAAAAAUGAUAAUAAUAAUUUAAACACAAAAAUGAUUAUGUAUAUAGUAUUGAAUUAUGAAUUUGUCCUUUCCUUUCUUUUAAUGAAAAAUAAAUACAUAUGGAAAUUGAUAAUUGAAGUUGUUAUUCAAUCAUCUAAAGAUUAGCUUAGAUGGAAUAUAUUGUAAUGAUCUACUCCUAAUCGUGUAAAUAUUGUUUACUUUGAAUCCAACCUAUCAUAUCCCAUAAGAUUAGGGUGGUCAAACAAAUUCUCACACUGGGGGGUCAAGGAUCAACUUUAAUACUAUUUGUAAUGGCUCACUCCCAACAGUAUAGAUAUUAUCCUCCCAACUGUAAAUAUUGUUCAUUCUAAACCCAAAAAUCUCUCACAGCUUUAAAACGUGUGUAUAAAAUUAAAAGGAGCUUAUACAUAUAUGAUGUCAGGAUUUUUUUUCCUCAUUUGAUGAAAGAUGCCACAUGUAUUCCCUCAAAAUACUGAUUCCAAUUAGAUGUGAAGAGGAACCAUUUAGUAUUAGAAAGAAAAGAAAUACAUAGAUGGUAAUAUGUAUUAUUUCUAUUCCUUAGUCUUGUUGCAAGGACACUCAUUGCUAUAUAAUAUAUAUAUAUAUAUAUAUAUAUAUAUAUAUAUAUUUAAAGAACUUUGAAAAUUAAUUUUGUUAUAUACAAAAUUAACUUAUAAUUAAAAUAAAAUCAUUUAUAAUACAAAUAUUGGAUUGAUAAAUAAUUAUAUAAGUAAUUAUCUUAAUUUAGCUCAAUUUUAAGUCUUAAAAUACAGAUUCGAAAUAUAUUAAAUAAAAUAAAAUUUCACUUAAAUCUUACAUGGAUAAAUAGAAAUAAUAACUUCUAUACAAAAAAUAAAAAAUUUUAUAGAAAAAAUUGAAAGCUUAUCUUAUUUUCUUUCUACAACUAAAAUUCGAGUGAACAAAAAACUAUUAACUUCAAAUUUUUAAGCUAUUUUAAGAUAAAUCUCUAUUAUUUACCUAAGAACUCAUACUAUCUUUAAUUUUCAAAAAUAAAAAUAUAUCCAAAUGUGCACCUAAAUUUUGUAGAAAAUGAACCUUGAGCAAACUCUCCUAAUCACGUUAUUUUAUCAUUUACCCAAAGAUUUAUGCUUAUCAAAAAUCAAUCAACCACAUUGAGAAUUGAUAAUUUUAGCUAGCUAGUAACAUGUGCAAUCAGAAGAAAGUCAAUGAAGAGUACAUAUAUUCACAUCUCUUCUUUUCUGAAUUCCUCAAAAGACAUCAUCCAUGAGCUCAUUAAUCACACCCAUAAAACAAUGAACAAGAAGAGACCAAGAAAAUAUCAUAUUGUAGGCGCAUCGCCAAAAGGUUUGUUGAAAUAACUUAUACCUUCACCCUCUGAGCUCUAGAAUAGUGUCGAAAAGAACAACCUAAUCUUUCUUUCUUUUUUCUGAACUACUUUUUACCAAGAUCCCAAAGCCUUAGAUGCUAUUUAUAUUUGGACUUGGAGAAUACUUAAAAAUAAAUAGCCCAACUAUGGGCUUAGAGAACUUUUCAAGGGUUGGAUAAACAUAGCUCAACAAAAUUAGCUUAAAAUAACCUUUAAAAUUACCCAUUCAAGACCUAUCAAAUCAAAAGAAAAUUAAAAUAAAAACUUUUGGAAACCUUUUCUAUGCAAAAAUUUCAAAAAAAAAAUAUUAUAUAAAAAAUUGAAAACUUAUCUUAUAUGCUUUCGAUAACUUAAAUUUUGAGAGAACAAAAAACUGUAAAAUUCAAAAUUUUCAUCUAUUUUUCAAAACAUUUGUUUUUAAGAUAAAUCUCUAUUAUUUAUAUAACAACUUAUACUAUCUUUUAUUUUCAAAAAUAAAAAAUUUAUUCAAAGUCCACUUAAAUUUUGUUGAUAAUGAACCUUGAGCAAACUCUCAUGGUCACAUUAUUUAAUCAUUUACCUAAAGAUUUAUGCUUAAAGAAAAUCAAUCAACCACAUUCAGAAUUGAUAAUUCUAAGUAGUUAGUAACACAUGGAGUCACAAUUCCAUACAACAAAUACAUAUAUAUAGAAAAAUUUGAAAUCUUAUCUUAUAUGCUCUUUAUAACUAAAAUUUCGAGUGAACCAAAAAUUUUUAAAUUCAAAAUUUUAAGCUAUUUAAAAGUUGUUUAUGUUUAAGAUAAAUCUCUAUUAUUCAUAUAAGAACUCAUACUAUCUUUUUAUUUUCAAAAAUAAAAAAUGUUUUGAAAGUCCACUUAAAUUUUGUAGAAAAUGAACCUUGAACAAACUCUCUUAAUCAAAUUAUUUUAUCAUUUACCUAAAGAUUUAUACUUAUAAAAAACCAAUUAACCGCAUCGAGAAAUGAUAAUUCUGGAUAGCUAGUAACACAUGGAAUCACAAGAAAGAUGAUGAAGAUUAUGUAUAUUAAUUAUGGUCUCUUCUUUUCUGAAUUCCUCACAACUCACAUCAAUUGGUCUUUGAUGUUGUCCGUGAGCUCACUUGUCACACCCAUAAAACAAUAAAUAGGAAGAGAUCAAGAAGAUCAUACCACAAGGGCUUCCCUAAAAGAUUGAUGAAAGAACUUAUACCUUCACCCUUUGAGCUCCAAAACAAUGCCCAAAAACCAACCUAAUCUUUUUUUUUUCCCUUUUUCUGAACUAUUUCAUCAAGAUUCAAAAGCCCUAGAUGUUAUUUAUAUUUGAACAUAGAGAAUACCUAAAAUAAACAAUCCAACGCAUGGGCGGGAUAAACUUAGCUCAAUAAAUUUAGCUUAAUAUUAACCCUUAAAGUUACCCAUUCAUGGUCUAUUAAUGAAUAUAAAUAAAAUUUUUUGAAAACCUUUUCAAUACAAAAAUAAAAGAUUUGAUAACAAAAAUUGAAAACUCACCUUAUAUGCUUUCUAUAACUGAAAUUUCGAGUGAACAAAAACUAUUAACUUCAACUUUUUCAGCUAUUUUUAAAAUUAUUUAUUUUUAAUAUAAAUCUCUAUUAUUUAUAUAAACACUCGUACUAUCUUUUAUUUUCAAAAAUGAAAAAUAUACUCAAAGUCCAAUUAAAUUUUGUAGAAAAUGAAUCUUGAGCAAACUCUCUCGACCACGUUAUUUUAUUAUUUACCUAAACAUGCUUAUCAAAAAUUAAUCAACCAUGUUGAGAAUUGAUAAUUUUGGGUAGCUAGUAACACAUGGAAUCAUAAGAAAGUUGAUGAAGUUGUUUUCCUCUCUAAAGUCCUAAAAGCUCACAUGCCACUCAUCUCUGAUGUUGUCCAUGAGCUCACUCGUCACACCCAUAAAACAAUAAACAAGAAGAGAUAAGGAAGAUCAUACCGCAAUGACUUUCACAAAAGGUUGAUGAAAUAACUUAUACCUUCACCCUCUGAGCUCUAGAAUAGUGUCAAAAAGAACAACCUAAUCUUUCUUUCCUUUUUCUGAACUACUUUUUGCCAAGAUCCCAAAGCCUUAGAUGCUAUUUAUAUUUGGACUUAGAGAAUACUUAAAAAUAAAUAGCCCAACUAUGGGCUUAGAGAAUUUUUCAAGGGUUGGAUAAACAUAGCUCAACAAAAUUAGCUUAAAAUAACCUUUAAAAUUACCCAUUCAAGAUCUAUCAAAUCAAAAGAAAAAUAAAAUAAAACUUUUGGAAACCUUUUCUAUGCAAAAAAUUCAAAAAAAAAAAUUAUAUAAAAAAUUGAAAACUUAUCUUAUAUGCUUUCUAUAACUGAAAUUUUGAGUGAACAAAAAACUGUAAAAUACAAAAUUUUCAUCUAUUUUUCAUAACAUUUUGUGGACCCCGCAUUUCGAUUGCUCGAUGCGUUUCCCACUGGAUGGCGAGCUCGAUUUUUAUUUUUAUUUGAAAAAUUGAUUUUUAUUGAUUAUUUGAAAAUGACUUGGAGUCGCCACUUAUUUUUGUUUUAUUUUUAAAAGGGUAAACAAAAUAAGAAAGAAAGACCCUAAAUGUGACUCCAUAUUUUGGAAAAGACGGUCUGCGAAAAACCGGAUCGGGUUCGGGGGUCAGGUUACUUGUCGGGAAGGUACGGUAAAGACCGUAGCACCCCUCUAAGCCCCUAAAAUAGGUCUCUACUAAUAAAAUGAAGCAGACAUGACAAUCGAUUAGGCAAAACAGUGAAUACUCGGAACUAUCAUGCACAUAUGAGAAUCAGAAUAUGAAUAGCGAAUGAUCAGAAUGAGUGAAUACGUACCUGGGCAGCAAACAGCAAUGCGCUAUCAUGGAAUGGGGUUAGUGAAUAAACACAGAAUGAUUAUAUACAUAUCAUGGAAUAUAGCAAAACGAUCAUGCGUGGUAAAUAAAUCAAUCAAGCGAUCAAUCAGUCAUGAAUUCACAUAUGUAGGGCCCCCACCAAAGCCCGAUCAAUCUUGCAUGAAUUAAUCUCACAAAUUCCAUUAUUCUGAAAUUAUGAAAGUGACAUUCACGCUUAUAUAAAACCAAGAGGAACAUGAGAUUACUUGAAAACCGGAAUGGAAUUAAAACUGUUCAAGUGAAGACUGGAUUUUUGAAAUUUGUUUGAAAAUUGGAGUAUCGAAAAUUAUUUGGAAAUUGGAGUUUUGGAAAUUAAAUUUAAGAAUUGGAAUUUUAGGGAUUAAAUUCGAAUGAAAACAUAAUUUUGAAAAUUAUUUGGGAAGUAGAAACCAUGAAAGUUAAUUUAUAAAAAAAACAAAUUAUGAAAAUUGGGACUUUGGAAAUUAAAUUUUGAAAGAAAUUAGAAUUAAAAAUUAUUUAAAAUUUUGAAAAUUUGGAAAACUUAUUCAAUAAUAAAGAAACUUAGAAAUUUGAGGAAUUAAUUAAAAAUUGUUUUAAGACAUCCCUAAAGAAAGAAAAAAAAAAAUGGAAUAAAAAAUUUUAUUUGAGAGAUUGAAUCUUAUUGGCGUAAAAGAAAUAUCCAAAUUUUUCAUGCAUCAAGAAAUUAGGUGGGGCCACAUCUCCAAGUUUUUCUACUUAUGGAAAUAUCUCACAAUAUGGCACAUGGCAUGGAAGGAAAACACACGGCCAUGCAAUGAGGGUGGUUGGGCAUAAAGUGGUCAAAAGGUCAUCCAUAUGGGACCCAUGAUCAUGCUUAAAUAUUAAACAUUAUUCCAAAUAAACCAAGGCAGUAUGCCUUUUCAACUGUGUACGCUACCUCCCACUAACUCCCAGAACUUCAAGAAGCUCCUGACUCCUCAGUCAGCCCAUCGCGUCUUAGAAACCCAUGAAAACUACACUGCCCAAUUGUAAAACAGCUAAACAUACUUUCUAGAGCUUCAUCUUCUAUUUGGAUUAAUUUUAAUGGCAUCACUCAGCGAAGGGGACCAUCCUAUGAACCCCGAUACCACUAGCAUACUCUUCUUGGGGCCUCUUAAUUCAGAACCAAAUUCAGAUAUAGAGACCCCCUGCCUGGGCAUGAUAUACUCAUAUGGGAUAAGGUUCAUUCCACCCCUGACAGCUGUCACCACGACACACUUGGCAAUGGUGUGAAAUGCAGCUUUCUCACUAAGAUAAAAUGACCUAUCAAUAAAUACAAUCGGGUCAUAAUCUGGCUGCCCAAAACUUUCAUUAAUUCUCUUACAGCUUUCCUGGAUUUCAGCCUGUACCACCUCGAGAUCUCUCCCAAAAACAUUUCCUCUAGCAGAAAUGAAACAGAAAACCCAUGAGCGCAUCUCCUUCUCUGCUUCUCCUCUGUUUCUCAAGUUCAGCAACCAUAUCUCCCCAUCUGCUUCUCUCUCUCAUUUUCUUACUUAGCUCAUUUCCAUUUCCGUCAAUACUCUAGAUCAAACAGCUCACCAAGCACAACACAAAUAUAGGAAUAACAGCAGAGACAUAGCCAGGGUGAACAACAGGUGUUAAACAAAUAUGGGAAGGUAAAACAUAUGAUGAUACAGAGUUCCACUUCAGGUGACAUCCAUGGGCUCGAAAUAGGUGAGAUUAACGUAUCAAAGAAAACUCAAAAACAGUUCAUGCAUUCAGAGGACUGAGUUCAACCAAAGCAAACAAAAUAUUGUCUAGAACUAGAGCUAAAAAUGUCAAGAGGAUAGGAGAAUAAUGGAAAAUGUAAGACUUAUAGUUCAUACCUGUAAAUGGAUUCCCUACCAGCAAGACUAGUUAGGCUUCUAGCUCUUUUCUAAAGCUCCCUCUCUUCCCUUUGCUGUCCGCCUUGGUUCCUCCUUCUCUCAACUUCUCUCCGUAGCCUAAGCUCCAGGAAUACCCUCCAGAAAAAUCCUCUCUCCGGUGGCUUCCCUAAACUCCAAAACUCCCUCUCUCUAUCCCCCAAAAAUAUCUCUAACGGCCUAGCCUUUUUCCCACCACCCUACAGCUGCCAACCUUCACGGUUUUCAACUUUUUCUGCUGAAAGAAAUCUCCACGUGUCAAGCUUCCAUUGGCCAUCAAAACCACUAACUUGAUACCCUAUCAACCAGUCCUGGAGUGACACGUGGUCAUCCCAGACGAUGACACUUGUCAUAAUCGGGCUGUAGAGAUGUCUCCCCAAAAUGGGGGUCUACACAUUUAUUUUUAAGAUAAAUCUCUAUUAUUUAUAUAACAACUUAUACUAUCUUUUAUUUUCAAAAAUAAAAAAAUUAUUCAAAGUCCACUUAAAUUUUGUUGAUAAUGAACCUUGAGCAAACUCUCAUGGUCACAUUAUUUAAUCAUUUACCUAAAGAUUUAUGCUUAAAGAAAAUCAAUCAACCACAUUCAGAAUUGAUAAUUCUAAGUAGUUAGUAACACAUGGAGUCACAAUUCCAUACAACAAAUACAUAUAUAUAGAAAAUUUUGAAAUCUUAUCUUAUAUGCUCUUUAUAACUAAAAUUUCGAGUGAACCAAAAACUUUUAAAUUCAAAAUUUUAAGCUAUUUAAAAGUUGUUUAUGUUUAAGAUAAAUAUCUAUUAUUCAUAUAAGAACUCAUACUAUCUUUUCAUUUUCAAAAAUAAAAAAUAUUUUGAAAGUCCACUUAAAUUUUGUAGAAAAUGAACCUUGAACAAACUCUCUCAAUCAAAUUAUUUUAUCAUUUACCUAAAGAUUUAUACUUAUAAAAAACCAAUUAACCGCAUCGAGAAAUGAUAAUUCUGGAUAGCUAGUAACACAUGGAAUCACAAGAAAGAUGAUGAAGAUUAUGUAUAUUAAUUAUGGUCUCUUCUUUUCUGAAUUCCUCACAACUCACAUCAAUUGGUCUUUGAUGUUGUCCGUGAGCUCACUUGUCACACCCAUAAAACAAUAAAUAGGAAGAGAUCAAGAAGAUCAUACCACAAGGGCUUCCCUAAAAGAUUGAUGAAAGAACUUAUACCUUCACCCUUUGAGCUCCAAAACAAUGCCCAAAAACCAACCUAAUCUUUUUUUUUUCCCUUUUUCUGAACUAUUUCAUCAAGAUCCAAAAGCCCUAGAUGUUAUUUAUAUUUGAACAUAGAGAAUACCUAAAAUAAACAAUCCAACGCAUGGGUGGGAUAAACUUAGCUCAAUAAAUUUGGCUUAAUAUUAACCCUUAAAGUUACCCAUUCAUGGUCUAUUAAUGAAUAUAAAUAAAAUUUUUUGAAAACCUUUUCGAUACAAAAAAUAAAAGAUUUGAUAACAAAAAUUGAAAACUCACCUUAUAUGCUUUCUAUAACUGAAAUUUCGAGUGAACAAAAAACUAUUAACUUCAACUUUUUCAGCUAUUUUUAAAAUUAUUUAUUUUUAAUAUAAAUCUCUAUUAUUUAUAUAAACACUCGUACUAUCUUUUAUUUUCAAAAAUAAAAAAUAUACUCAAAGUCCAAUUAAAUUUUGUAGAAAAUGAAUCUUGAGCAAACUCUCUCGACCACGUUACUUUAUUAUUUACCUAAACAUGCUUAUCGAAAAUCAAUCAACCAUGUUGAGAAUUGAUAAUUUUGGGUAACUAGUAACACAUGGAAUCACAAGAAAGUUGAUGAAGUUGUUUUCCUCUCUAAAUUCCUAAAAGCUCACAUGCCACUCAUCUCUGAUGUUGUUAGCUCACUCAUCACACCCAUAAAACAAUAAACAAGAAGAGAUAAGGAAGAUCAUACCGCAACGACUUUCACAAAAGGUUGAUGAAAUAACUUAUACCUUCACCCUUUGAGCUCUAGAAUAGUGUCAAAAAAACAACCUAAUCUUUCUUUCCUUUUUCUGAACUACAUUUUACCAAGAUCCAAAAGCCCUAAAUUUUAUUUAUAUUUGGACAAAGAGAAUACCUAAAAUAAAUAGCCUAAUGCAUGGGCUUAGAAAUAAACUAAGCUCAACAAAUUUAGCAUAUAAUAUUAACCUUAAAAUUACCCAUUCAAGGUUUAUUAAAUCAAAAUCAAAAUAAAUUUUCAAAAACCUUUUCUAUACAAAAAAUGAAAAUUUUGAUAGAAAAAUUUCAAAGCCUAUGUUAUAUGCUUUCUAUAACUAAAGUUUCAUGUGAACAAAAAAUUGCUAACUUCAAAAUUUUAAACUAUUUUAAAAAUUAUUUAAUUUUAAAAUAAAUCACUAUUAUUUCUAUAAGAACACAUAUUAUCUUUUAUUUUCAAAAAUGAAAAAUGUAAAGUCCACUUAAAUUUUGUAGAAAAUGAACCUUGAGCAAACUUUCCUAGUGACAUUAUUUUAUCAUUUACUUACAAAUUUAUGUUUACCAAAAAUCAAUCAACGAACUGAGAAUUGAUAAUUCUAGGUAGCUAGCAAAAUAUAGAAUCACAAGACAACUGAUGAAGAGUAUGUAUAUUCUGGUCUCUACCUCUCUGAAUUCCUCAAAGCACACAUAUCACUUCUCAAAGAUGUAAUCCAUGAACACGCUCGUCACACCCAUAAAACAAUCAAUAAGAAGAGAUCAUACUAUAAGGGCUUCCCCAAAAGAUUGGUGAAAGAACUUAUACCUUAACCCAUGUAGCUCUAAAGCAAUGCCUAGAAAACAACCUAAUUUUUCUUUCUUUUUUUUGCACCCAUUUUCACCAAGAUCCCAAAGCCCUAGGUGUUAUUUAUAUUUAGACUUAGAGAAUUCCUAAAAAACAAAUUAAUAGGCAAAUGCAUGGGAGGAGAAAACUUUUCAUGGGCAGGAUAAACUUAGCUCAACAAAUUAAGCUUAAUAUUAAACCUUAAAAUUACCAUUCAACAUGUAUUACAUAAAAAUAAAAUAAAAUUUUUCGAAAACCAUUUGUAUACAAGAAAUAAGAAAAUUUAGAGAAAAGAUUGAAAACUUAUAUUAUAUGCUCUUUAUAACUAAAAUUUCAAGUGAACUAAAAAAUGUCAACUUCAAAUUUUUAAGCUAUUUUUAAAAUUAUUUAUUUUUAAGGUAAAUCUCUAUUAUUUAUAUAAGGACUAAUACUAUCUUUUAUUUUUAAAAAUAAAAUAUGUAUUCAGAGUUCAUUAAAAUUUUGUAGAAAAUGAAUCUUUAGGGAAACUCUCCUAUUCACAUUAUUUUAUCAUUUUCCUAAAGAUUUAAGCUUAUUGAAAAUCAAUUAACCACAUUGAGAAUUAAUAAUUCUGGGUAGCUAGUAACACAUGGAAUCACAAGAAAGCUAAUGGAGACUAUGUAUAUUCUGGUAUCUUACUUUUUGAAUUCCUCAAAUCUUGCACACUAAUCAUCAAAGAUGAUGUCCAUGAGUUCACUCGUCAUGCCCCAUGAAACAAUGAACAAGAAGAGAUUAGGUAGAUCAUACCGUAGGGGCUUCUCCUAAAUGUUGAUGAAAGAACUCAUACCUUCACCCUUUGUGCUAUGGAACAAUGCCAAGAAAACAAUGUAAUUUUUCUUUUCUUUUUCUGAAACACUUUUAACAAAGAUCCAAAAGCCCUAGAUGCUAUUUAUAUUUGGACAUAGAGAAUAACUAAAAGAAAUAGUCCAAUGCAUAGGCUUAGAAAACUUAAAUAGUUAUCAAAGAGUUGUUAACACAUUAUCUAUAAUACAAAUGUCAACCAGAACACUUAAAUAGUUACUCAAAAUAUAACAUGUCAAUAUUUGAGUAUUCAUGAAGAGUUUUUCAUACUAAUAAAUCUAAAAUUCAUGUCUUUAUUCAUUUUGAAAAUUGGGAUAUGGUGAUUCAAAUUGAGCAUUUGAAAAACCAAAGUUCCCCAAAUCAACCACUUCUAGAGUCAUGUCACCACCAUCCUCGUCAUCUACAAAAAUAUUAAAUAUAUAUUAAUAAGAGAUCAUUUUUAAAGAAAAAAAUAGUAAUUAUUGAACUUUUAUAAGUUUACAUAUUCUACUAAUCAAUGAGAGCUUGCAGCUGAACUUGAACCUUCUACUUCAUUUAUUGGAAUUAAUCCUUCUUCAUAUAGAAGAUUUUCUAAUUCUUCCACAUCUAGCUCUCUUGGCUCAUCCUCAUCAACUAAACAAAAAUCAGUUUCAUCAAUGCAUGCAUAAUCAAUGGGAUCAUAGGUCAUUUUCUUGUUGUACAACCUAAAAAAGAAAAACAUAUAAUUAUUCAUAAUUGUCAAUGAAAAAUUUUAAAUUCAAAACAACUAAGAAAGUAUUUAUAUUGAAUUUUUAGCCACAAAUUGUAAUGAACGUAUACAAGAUCAUUAAGUCUUUCAUUUUUCAAUCUAUUCCUUUUUUUUGGUAUAUGUGUAUAUGUUCAAACACACUUUUCAUAACUUUUUGAUUAAUAACAUCUAUGACAUCUCCAAUAACUUCUUGCUUAUUACAAUUUUUUUUUUUUUUUUUAAUAUUGGAAACAUGGAUUCAACCAAUAAGCUACUGAAUGAAUGCUUUUCUUUGGUUGUUCAUCCUAACGUUCCUUUAUGAUUUGUGUAUAAGGCUUGUAUAGUCUUUUAUUGUGUUUAAAUAAUUUCUUGAUACCCAAACGAGCAUUAUACAUGCCUUUAUACACAUAUCCCAUCGAAGGCCUCUCAUCACAAUCAACAAUAUGUAAUAAGAGCACAAGUGGAGCAAUGAGAUUCAUAACCAUCAAACAAUCAUUUCAGAAUAUAUUAUCCAAGAUGAUAGAAACUACAACUCUGCUUUUAUUAUCCAUUAAAUACUUAGAGUCCACAAAAAACUUGCUAGUCACCAAAGCUUGCAAGUCAUGUUUAUGAUCAUGAAGACUCUUUAGUGCAAUGAAUGUAGUAGCAAAGUGAGUUGCACUAGGUCGAAGAAUCUCUAUCCAUCCUUCUCUUUUUCUCAACCAACUUAACAAAGCAACAUGAUUACACACAAAAAUUGUCACCUUUGAUGCAUGUCUUACAAGUUCAGCAACAUAGUCCAUCUUACUAAUAUCCUUAAAGAUCAAAUUAAGACAAUAAGUUGUACAAGGUGACCAAUUGAUUUGUUUAUACUUCUAAGAAAUCAAUCUCCUUAAGACCACAUAAUUUGUUGCAUUAUCAAUCACUACAUGAACUACAUUGAGUGAACCAACCCAUUCAAUCCCUCAUCAAAUAGCAUAAACAAAGUAGUUGCAUCAUUCACAAUAUUCGAAGCAUCAAUAGAUUUACAAAUUAUUUUCUCUUCUUAAAAACAUAAAAAAAGAAAAAAAAAUCUGACACUAUAUUUUAAGAGAACAUCUUUUGGUUAUUUUUAAUUGUUUUCACUUGUUUUUUGAAAUCUAUUUUAAAAAAUAAUUAUACAAAUAUGGGGAAUCAUUAAAAAUAAAAUAUUAUAGAUAAAAAAUUAUUUUAAAAUAUAGAAAAUAUGUUAAAACAUUUCAGAUUUUCAAAUAAACUUUGUUCUAUAAAACAUUAAAGAAUAAUUUUAAAAAAAAAUUGUUUUUCAGAUUUAGUUUUUUAAAAAAAAUACUUUUCAAACAAAACCUUAACAAUUUUGUUUAUCAAAUUCUAAUCCCAACUCUAAUCAUAAUCAUAAUUACUUUCCUUGUCUUUCCUUUCCUUUCUUUUCCUUCCCUUCUAUUCCCUUAUUAUAUAUAAGUAUUUAAAUUAAGACAUUAAAUCAGUUUAUCAAACCCAUCUUAAUCAAUCAGUUAAUCAUAAGCAUCAUGUCAAAGACUUUUAAACCACUAGGUGGAUCCACUCAUCCAUCAUUCACGAUGGAUUAAUCCAUGGAAAGAUAACAACAUCUUCUUAGACUUGUACAUGUGGAUAGCUAUUAGAAAAAAAAAAACAAAAUUUAAUGCACAAAAAUUGGGAUAAAGAAAUAAAAGAAACUCAUCAACAAAACCUAUCUUUUUCUAUUUUAUUUUAUUUUACUUCUAACACUUAAGUAAGGUCUUUAGGUCAAUGAAUAUGCAAAAUUUGAAAUGAUUUGCCUAAAGUUCAUAUGUUAAAACUCGGGUUUUAAUGGAAAUUUAACUUUGAUGCAUAAACCAAGUUUUUAAAGAUGCAUGAAAAGAUAUGAAAAUCCUAAGUGCACCCAUGCAUUCAUCUUACAUGUAUUUCCUAUGAUUAAAGGGUCUUCCAUUUGUGUUGAUCUUGCAUCCAUUGGGUCCUAUAAUGAAUUUCUUGAAUAUCCUUUUGAAUUUUAACUAAAACUUGAAAUUCUUUUUUAAUUCAAAACAAUUAGCAACUUAACCAUGAUUUGUUAUCAUCAAAACACAAUUAGGAGAACCAUUGGGCUAACAGCUUAAACACUUAUUUUGGUAACUUUCUUAAUUAUAAAUUAUAUAUCUUAAUUUCCAAAAUUAACUUAUUUUCUUUAAUUUCAAAAUCUUAUUCAAAAUAAGAAAAAUAUUAUUUUAUAAAGAUUUGGAAAAUAAAAGCUUUUCCUUAAAAGAAAGAUUUUAUUCUUAGAGAUCUCAAAGAUUUGAGAAGAUUUUAAAUAAAAUUAAAAUCUCUAAAAAUUAAUUUUAAAAGGGAAAUAAAGUUCUUGAUCCUUUUCGAAUUUAUUUUUUCUUAAAAUAAAAUUUCUAACCAUGCACAUUCCAAUUUAAAUAAGUUUUCUAAUUUUGAAAAAUUCAUAAAAAUUUAUUUCUAAUUAAUAAUACCAUUAUUAUUUAGGGUCACAUAUGUAAUUAAUAAAGAUAACAUAUAAUAAAAACAAGGGAAUAAUUAAAUAGAAAUAUUUCUCAUGGCCUUUAUGGAUUUUAUUGCAUAUUUGGUAAUUAAAAUUAGGACAAAAUCCAAAUUACUAAAAUAGCCUUAUAGCCAAAGAUUAAGUUUAGUAAAAAUUGAAAAACCCCAAAACACCCAAUUACCACAAAAUAAUGAGCCUAAGAAAAUGGCCAAACAACCAAAAACAAUUUGGCCUGAACUUAAUCCUAAAACAACUUGAUUUUUGCAUAGCCUUGCUUCAAUCGACUAUAUCUCUUGUUUCAAUUCCAAAUUGCAAAUCGUUUAAAGUGUUGGAUUCCCAACUUCUUAAGCUUGAAAACAAUAUAUGGCUUGCCCUAAGAAACUCAUGGGACUUAGCCCCAAUUUUGAGUCGAAGUCAACAUCAUUGUGUUAUCAUGCUCUUUGUGCAGCCUUGCUUCAAUUAGUCAUAUCUCCCUUGUUUCAACUUUGAAUUGUGAUCCAUUUAAAGCAUUGAAUUCCUGAAUUCCUAAGCUUCAAAAACCUCAUGAGAAAUAGUCUCAAGUUUGAGUUAAAGUUGAUGCCACCAUGUUGCCAAGAAUAUUUAUUAUUAUUUUUUUCUUAAAUCACAAUAGGAUUACAAAAAGAAACUUCAAGAUUCUUUCUUUUCUCUUGGGUCACCACAGAUGAAUGUAAAAAACUAAAAUUUUUAUAAUAAUAAAAAUUAUUAUGCUCCUUUAAUAGAGCUUACAACUCAUCUAUUGAGGAAAAAAAAAAACCUCUUACAAUCAAAUAAAAAUCUUUUACCCUUUAUGGAUUGUACAACCCAAUCUAGAGAAAACAAAGAAUCCAAUCAUAAUUAUAACCAUCAUGUUAUAUUGAAAACCCACAUAUAAUUGUCCUCGAGGCCAUGGAAUAAACCAAAAUACCCUAUAAAAUAGAGUUAGCAUGCCCUAGAGAUGAUCUAACACACAAAAACCUACCUUAGGGCUCUGAUACCAGUUGUUGGGAACCCUAAAUUUCUUCAUUCCCUAUCUUUAAAUCUCGUAGGGUGAAUACAUCUAUCCCUAACGAUCUUUAGAUUUAACACAUUGGAAAAAAAUGGCUUCAAAAACUAUUUUAGAAUAAAGAUAUAGAGAUUUGAAACUCAUACUUGGAUCUAGAUGUUCUCAUAUCAAUUCCUAGUUGUGAAGAACAUGCUUGAAGGUCUCAUACACCCAAGAUAUUCCGACCGAUGACUUAAACCACAAUCUUGACACUCUAAAUUCCCUAGCUUCAAAAUCAUAUGCGGCUUACCCUAAUAAACUCAUGGGAGAUAGUCCCGAUUUUAAGUUAAAGUUGAUGUCGUUGUGUUCCCAUGGAUCUCAAAACAAGAACUUCCAAGAAUAUUUCUUUUUUCUUAAAUCACCAUAGGAUUACAAAAAAAGAAACUUCAAGAUUCUUUCUUUUCUCUUGGGUCACCAUAAAUGGAUAUAAAAAGAUGAAAUUUUUACAAUAAUAAAAAUUCUUAUGCUCCUAUAAUGGAGCUUAUAACUCAUCUAUUGAAAAGAAAAUAUUAUUACAAUGAAAUAAAAAUCCUUUACCCCUUAUGGGGUGUACAACCUAAUCUAGAGAAAACAAAGAAUCUAAUCAUAAUUAUAACCAUCAUGUUACAUUGAAAGCCUACAGACAUUCAUCCCUAAGGCCAUGGGAUAAAUUAGAAUACCCUACAAAAUAGAGUUAGCACACCCUGGGAACAUAUCUGACAUGAAAAAACCCAUCUUAGGGCUCUAAUACCAGUUGUUGGGAACCUUGAAUUUCUCAAUUCCUUAUCCUUGAAUUUCGUAGAGUGCAUGCAUCUAUUCCUAACAAUCUUUAGAUCUAACAUAACGAAAAAAUGGCUUCAAAAACCAUUUUAGAAUAAAGAUCUAGAGAUUUGAAACUCAUACCUAGAUCUGGAUGUUCUCAAAGCAAUUCCUAGCGGUGAAGAACAUGCCUAUAAGUCUCAUACACCCAAGAUAUUCUAGUCAAUGACUUAAACCAUGAUCUUGACACUCCAAAGUGUGGGUUUUGGAAGGAAGGAAUCUUAGGCUCUCUCUCUUUCUCUCUCUAGAGGUGGAAGACGACUUUUACACUAAAAAGUGAUGGGAAUCCUAAUCCCUAAGAGGUAUUUAUAAGGUUCCCCUAUUAGGCUUAACUGACUUAAGCCACCAAGGCUUAGGUCACUUGAUCUAACUCAAAAUGGGUUUUAAUUGAUUAAUUAGCCACACAAGGUCAUCUAAUUAAUUGAUUAGCCCAAUUCAAAGAACUUGUUUAUUAUCCCCUGUGGAACCUUACAUAAUUACCAAAAUGCCAUUAUGCAUAAAAAUGAACUGAGAACCAAUCCAACCAUUAUAAACCAUGUCAUCAUGGUAUAUGAGCUCAGAAUAGGAACUAUUGGGACCCAUAGGAGUAUUAGCUCCUUCAUAAUCCAAUUUUGAAGUUGAUUCAACAUUCCACUAAAGAGAAUCAACUGCACUCUAGCACCCUUACGUAAAUAACAACGAGACAAAGCUUGGGUAUGUGACUUAUUGUCCAUUGUAUGUAGACUCCCUAUAAACUAGUGUUUGUAACCUAAUAAGGUAAUGCUAUCACCUACCAAGAUCACCUAUCAAAUUCUUGAGUUACAGAUCUUACUUAUUUUGUGAUCAACUAGCAUACUCUAACUCUAAGAAGCAUAUGUUAAAUUCCACUAAAGGAAGUAUUACAAUCAUAGAUUUCGUGAUCACAUUUCCUUUGGAUCACCCAAUGGGACACAUUGUCUCAAUCCUAUGAGAUAUCAUGGUGCCUCUAUUGAGAAUACCUGUUACCACCAGCCUUCAUCAACAAUGAUCAAUAAGAAUAUAUGACCAUUUUAGUAUCUCACUUAUAGGUCAAAGCCUCAUGUUGAUUUCAACACAAGCUCAAUAACAAUUGAUAGUCUUACGUCAUGAUUCAAUGUAGGUUCUGUCUAGUGUGCAUCAUAUACACUAGUGUGCUCACUAUUGGAAACUCAUCCCGACAGCUAAGACAAGUCUCAUUCCAAUUAGGAGGUAGUGUACUAACCUUUAUUGGACUGCCCAAAUCCAUGAACUGAAUAUAAACAAAUUAUCUACUUACAAGAAACUAAUGACUUAUAUCCUUUAUGCAACUCCUAAUGCACCUAAGUCGUGUAUAAUGUAAGAGAUAUGGACUGAAUGCUCAAAUUAAUUUCAAUGCAUAAAAGGGAUAGUAAGAAGAUAGUCAAGUUUGACUUCAUACAUCAUGUCUUUCUUUUAGGGGCUUAAUCCCAAUAGUGUUCUACCUCCUAAUUAGAUGGAUAACUUGUCUUGGUCAUCGCGAUAAUUUUCCCAUUGUGAGUGUACUAGUGUAUGUGAUGCACACUGAAUAGAACUUAUGGUGAAUCAUGAUGUAAGGGUAUCAAUUGCCAUAAUUCACUAAGCUACUAUAUUGUAUGGACUUUCAACCUUGAGAGGAUAUUAAGUUUGUACCAAAGUCAAUAAGAGACUUUGACCUAUAAGUGAGAUCCUAGGGUGCAUGGUCACAUAUCCUUGUGGAUUGGGUCAUUGUUGAUGAAAGUUGGUGACAACAGGAAUUCUUAAUAGAGACACCAUGAUAUCUUAUAAGAUUGAGACAAUGAGUCCUCUUGGGUAAUCUAAAGGACAUGUGAUUUAGAAGACUAUGACCAUAACUUUUCCUUUAAUGGAAAUUUAACAUAUACUCAUUAAAGCUAGAGUUUGUCAAUUGAUCACAUAAUAUGUGGGAUAUGUAACUCAAGGUUGGAGAGGUAAUCUUGAAAGGUGAUAACUCUACCUAGUUAAAUUACAAACACUAGUUCAUGGGGAGUUUACAUGCAAUGAAUGGUAGGUCAGGACCCUAACUUUGUCUCAUUGUUAUUUAUAUAGGAUAUUGGAGUAUAGUUGAGUCUUUAUAAUGGGAUGUUGAAUCAACUCUAGAAUUGGAUUCUUAGGGGGUUAGUACUCCUAUGGGUCCCAUUAGUCCCCGCUCUAAACUCAUAUACCAUGAUGACAUGGUUUAUAAAGGGUUGGAUUGGGUUUAGGUUCACUCUUGUGCAUAAGGGUGUUUUGGUAAUUAUGCAAGGUGCACAAGGAUAGUGAACAAGGUUUCUAGAUUGAGCUAAUUAAUUAAUUAGAUUGUCUUGCAAGGUUAAUUAAUCAAUUCAGGCCUAAUUUGGGUAAGAUUAAGUGGUUGAUGCCUAUGUGGGCUCAUGUCACUUAAACUUAGUGGGAGAAUCCUAUAAAUACCCCCUUUAAGGGUUAGAGUUUCUUAAUCACUUUUAACGUCAUAUUUCAUUUUAUAGAGUGAGAGUCAAACCUUCCUCUUUUCCAUUGCCCACCUUUUGGAGUGUCAAGAUUAUGGUUAGAGUCAUUGAACAAAAGAUCUUGGGCGUACAAGACCUCUAGAUUCUUCAAACUUCUUCACCACAUGGAAUGGAUUUAGGAAUAUCCAAAUCAGAGGUAAAGUGUUUUGUAGCCUUUAAUUUAGAUCCUUGAAUGUUAAAAAUGCUAUUUUUGCUUUCAUUGUAUAGGAUCUAGAGGUCUAGGGUAGAUUGCAUGUAGGUACGAUCCAAGGCACGAAAAUAGAGAAAUCCAGGGUUCCCAUCACUUCCAUUAUCCUUGCACAUAUAGCUUCCUUGCAAAAUUCCUCUAAAAGCUUGUCAUUUCGCUUUAUUUUGUUGCAUUUCUUCUCAAAUACGUGCACUAGCUCUCAAAAGGACUUAAGUUUGUAUUCAAGGUAAAAUACACUUUAAGUGUUGUUUGUUUGUUUUUAACUUAUUGUUGAAAGUAAUUUGCUUUUAGAAUUCAAUUGAUCUCUUUUUACUUUUUAUUUGACUUAUUAUUUAUUCUUAAAUGUUUUUCACUAAAUAGAAAAAAAUAUAUCAAAAUAUGACUUUUUUUAAAACAAGAAGUGAUUUAUUCGUCCCUCAUCCUCAACCUAGUAAAACACAAUAUCAACAUUCAUCCCUUAUCUCAUCUCAUCCUAGCCACUCAGUUUUAUACUUUGUCCCAUUCAACACCAUGCCCCUACUACCAUUAUCGUCACAAUUGCCUAUCAGCAUCCCACUUGCCACCACUCUCAUUAAAGUCACACAACAAUAUUUUAACCAUAUUUAAUUUUAAAAUAUUUUAUUUUGAUUAUAUAAAAUAAAAAUAAAAAUAAAAAUUAUUUUUUCAAGGAUAAUAAUGAUAAAUUAUUUAUUAUAAUAAUUGGUUUUAUUUUAAGAUUUGUAGAAAUAUGUUAAACUUUUUGGUCAAUAAGAAUUAGUAUAAAAAUUAUUUUUCUUACUGCAUUUAGAUGUUGAUUUUUAGCACAUGAAAAGCAAACAACUUAAUACUUAAUAAAAAAUAAAAUAUUAAAAACAACAACAACAACUUAACACUUAACACUCUUAACCAUUAUUUAUUCUUAAGUUAAAUUUGUUAUCUGUCCAACAUCACCCAUUAUUAUACACCCAAUUUUUACCCAAAUUUUACAAUAAGAAUUUACAAGUAACUGAACUUCCUUCUUGGCAUCCUUUAAAUUAUUAAACCAUAGUUGACGGUAAGUUGAACCCUUAUAUCCAAGACAAAUUACGAAUAUAGCAUCCAACAUUGGCGUGAAGUAGAAGGAAUUCACAACAUUAAUAGGAAUGCAUGCAUCAUAAAAGAAUCUCUCAACAACCAUAUCUACUCUCCAAAUAGCUUAUUUCCUAGCUAAUACACUCCUAAUGGAAGGUUGAGCUCCUUAAGUAGUUCUUGGUGCAAAAUACUUAUCCAUUGUUGAUUUUCUUCUUUUUCCACUACUAGUUGCCAUAGGAUUUUACAUAUCUUGAACCUCUUCUCCACAUUUUGGCAUAUCCCCUUCAAAUUGUGACACCUUAAGACCAUAAUUCAUAUGUUUCUUGGAUUUCACAAACUCCUACAAAGAAUUUUCCAUUUGAAAUCUACAUUAGGAGGAAUUGAUUUACAUGGACCAAUAUCUUGUUUCACUCCAACAAGGUGUUGUUUCAGUUUUAUGAAUUCCCCUACCUUUUGCAACUUUUUUACAAUAUAAACAAACAAGAACUUUCCUUCCAUUUGUAUUUUUUUCUUUAGAAACAUGCUCCUAUGUAGGGUUGGUGUUGUCUCUACUUGUUUGUGAAUUUGUAUUUGAAUCUUGACCAGAGGAUGGGGUCAAGUUUGAUUCCAUUUUGAUUUUUCUAUAAAAUUGUAAACAAAAACAACAAUUUUAAUCACCAUUCAAUGCAUUCAUCAAUAAAAAAUAUGACUUCAAUCAAGUCAUCCACAAUUUAAAAAAAUAAAAGAAUUAAAGAAUUUAUUAUAUAAAAUUCUUUCAAAAUCAGAAAUUUACUUUCAAAUAGAAAAUUUAUUUAAAAUUUUAAAACAAGAUUUUUAUUUAAAAAUUAGAAAAUUUAAAUUUAUUUAAAAUUAUCUAAAAAAUGCAACAUAAUGUUUGAUUCAUUGAUUAUUUCCAAAAAAUUAUUUUAAUUUCUAAUGUUUUUAAUUAUUUUAAUAAUUUAUUUAAACUCAAAUAAGAUAUUUUAAAAAUCAAUAUAAAAUUUAAAAAAAUAAAAUGAAAAUAAAGUAAAGAAAUAAAUAAAUCUAAACAAAUGAUUCAAUUAUUCAAAUGAAAUUUCAAUGAAUAUUGAUAUUGUAAUUUAAUAAAUCAAUAUGCAAUAAAAUUAUAAAAUAUUAAAUAUUAAAAAAAUUAAAUAAAUUGCAAGAUUCCAAAGUUUAAACUCAUAAUGGGAGAUUUGGAAUCCAGUGCGGUCAUCAGCAUGUGGAGGCGAUGGCUUCUCCAAUGUGGUGCGCAACUAUUGGAGACGUGCGUGCUAGUAAGGAGGGAAGGUAAAAAAAUGGCUUAUAUACAGAGCAAAACGACGUUGUUUCGAUGCCAAAUGCAUCAAAACAACGCUAUUUUGAUGGCAAAAAAAUAAAAAAGGUAUGAACCAUUUAGUUUGGGGGAAACCAGCUGAUUCACCAAUAAGACUGCUAAUUUCGAUGGUUGGAGGAUAGUCCAACCCUUCGACGGUUUAAAUCACCAAAGCAAACCGAAAAAUUGACUGAUCGAAAGUCAAACCGAUUGGAUCGACCGAUCUGGUCUGAUUUUUAAAAUCAUGUUCAUACCUUUAAAAUUUGUUUAGAAAAUUAAGAGAAACUCAUACAUAUAUAGUGUUUGAAACAUUUUUCCCAAUUCGAUGUGGAAUAAAUAUCACAUAUAUUCCCUCAAAAUGUUGAUUCCAAGUAGAUGGGCAAAUGAACAAUUUAGUAUUAAAAAGAAAAAAAAAAUACAUGGAUGGUAAUGUGUAUUAAUUCAUUUUUGACUCUCGUUAUAACACCCCACAUUUAUUGUUAGGGCAGUACUGUAAAUUAGAAUAAAAUAUAAAUAAAUAAAUUUAAUAAGGGUAUAAAGACCUUUUUUGCAUUAAAAGUCCUAGUUAUAAAUUAGAUUUUCUUUGUCUUCUUCAUUCAGAAAACCCUAUUAUACAUGGAUGGAAAUUCAAAAAUCAACAAAUCUCAACUUUUAAACCAACAUAUCAACAAUAGAAUUUUUUUGUCCAAGCAAUUUCAAACUUAAAACAAUAGCUAACAGUAAUCAAAUUCUAACAUUUAACAAAGUCCCAAAAAGAGAGUUUAAACAAAUGUCCUAAUAAAGCCAAAUUUAUCAUCCUAACUGUCACUCCUCGCCUGAAUUGAGGAUACUUGAAAUAUUAUCAAUAAAUGGGAAUGAGCUCAAAACUCAAUAAGGAACAUUAAUGUACAAUUUCAUGGAUCAAAUAGUUUCAAUCAUGCUUACAAAUGGGAGAUAUAAGGUUAAGUUCAAAUAUUCUAAUACAUUUUAAUCUGUUCAACCAAACAUUUUCAUAUAUAUCAAAACCAUUUCACAUCAAAUCCAAAUCAAACACAUUUAAAAUAUUUUCACUCUGAUUAUCAUAUAACAAAUGGUGCAUAAUUGGGUGGGAUUUUACAAAUGAGUGACUAGUUUCAAAUUUGUUCUAUUUAAGGUGAACAAAACAAAUGUCAACAAUUACAACCCAUUGCCUAGGGUCAUAUAAUAUCAAUUAUUAUAACCCAUUGACUAGGGUCGAAAAUGUCAACAAUUAUAACUCGUUGACUAGAGUUAUAAAAACUAGAGUCAAACACUUCAUUUCAUUAAUUCAAACUUACAAAACAAAAUAUCAUAUUUCUACAAUUUUUAUCUUUCAUAAACAAAGAAAAUGCUUAAACAUAUUUUUCAUACAAAACAUAUAUUUGAUCCAUGUAUAAAAAUAAAAAUAAAAAUUUUCAUAAAUCAAAAUAAAAUUUAAAAAGAAAUACUUUCUUUUACAAAAUCUAUAUUAAUUUCCCUUACCUCAUAGAAGCACUAAAAAACCUUGAAGUAUUUAAUCCUAAAGAGUUUUGCCCCAAAGAACCUAUUUCAAACUUAACAAAAAAAGACAUAACUAUUACUAUUAACUAUUUAUCUAAAUGAAGGGCUUGAGAAUCCUAAUAAUUUUAGGGAGCUCUCUACUACAAAAAUAGUUUAUGGUGUCACUAUUUACGGUGUCACUUUUAAAAUAAUGACACCAUAAGGUUUAUAAUUAAUAAAGGUGACACAUCAUAUAAAAAAUCUUCAAUUGAGGUAGUUAGAUGAUAUUAAUUUUAUAUUUAUAGUGUCAUUUUUUGGGAAGUGACAUUAUAUAAAAUAAAUUUUUUUAAGUACUAUAACUUAAUGAGCCCACUUUUAGAAUUAAUAAUGAUGGAUACUAUAUAAAAAUCCCAUUGUUUCCAUAUCUCACCCACAAUCCAAAAAAUCUCAAUAUAUAAAUCCUAUAUAUAAAAUCAUGAUCUUCUUCAACCUUUUCUCUCAUCCAUCCAUAGUCAACACGCUCAAAACCGACAUUCUUCACUUUAUGGACUCCCAGGUAACCCAAAAUCUCUUGGAUCUAUCAUUUUUUUUUCUUUUAUUAAUGCCAUUAUAUUAAUUGUUUCAACAUCUUUGUACUAUGGUUUUUGUGAAUUGUGUUUUCUUGAGUUGUAGGGAAGAAAAAUUUAGGUUUAAUCUUCUAGCAUGGAAGAAAAAACUAUAGAUUAAUUGAUUUUUUUAAUCUAAACCAAACACAUGAUCAAGUCCUUAAAAAAAAGUGAAAAAUAGGAAAAAAUGAAUGAUUUUUAAUAUGUAUUUGUGUGAGAAUGACAGGUACAAAUUUUUUUUAAGAUAUACUAUCACAUAAUCUUCAUCCUUUCUAAAAAACGAGAGAGGAAAAAAAAAAAGAAUGAUUUUUCUGUUUGUAUCUAAGUGGGAAUGAGAUAUAGAAUUUCGUUGAGAGUAUCCAACCCCAAAAGGACCAAUCCGGGAAGGCAUGUGUGGUAUUGACGGGAGAUGAUAAGAUGGAAAUCAUAACCAUAGCCAUGUUCUCUCUGUGUCUUUCUAUCCUCUUCAAUUAAUUUAUGGGCAUAGAUAUUUUAUUUAGUUUUUAUAUUUAGUUUAUUUAUAGUUUAUUUAGUUUCUAAAAUCCAAUUAGUUAGAUAUUUUAUUUGAUCUUGUUUUUAUAUUUAAGUAUUUGAGUUUUGGAAAGUUUUUAUAUUUUGUUAAUAGAAAUAGAAAUUUUUAUAUUUUUUAUUAUUAGGAAUUUCUAUUUUGUUAAAUUGUAAGUAUCUAUCUCAAUAAGAGAUUAUUAAUAUUCAAAUGAAAGUGAUGAAAGAGAGUAAAUAUUUUAAUGCUCAAUUAUAUUUUAAUGUUAUUUUUUUUUUUACAUAAGGGUUUAUUUAUGUUUUCAAUUUUGAAGUUCUCUUUCCAAGUCCAGCAACAAAAGUAGUGUCCAACCUUAAAAUGGGCAUGUGUGGUAUUGACGGGAGAUGAUAAGAUGGAAAUCAUAACCAUAGCCAUGUUCUCUUUGUGUCUUUCUAUCAUCUUCAAUUAAUUCAUGGGCAUAGAUAUUUUAUUUAGUUUUUAUAUUUAGUUUAUUUAGUUUCUAAAAUCCAAUUAGCUAGAUAUUUUAUUUGAUUUUAUUUUUAUAUUUAAGUAGUUGAGUUUUGGAAAUUUUUUAUAUUUUGUUAAUAGAAAUAGAAAUUUUAUAUUUUUUAUUAUUAGGAAUUUCUAUUUUGUUAAAUUGUAAGUAUCUAUCUCAAUAAGAGAUUAUUAAUAUUCAAAUGAAAGUGAUGAAAGAGAGUAAAUAUUUUAAUGUUAUUUUUUUUACAUAAGGGUUUAUUUAUGUUUUCAAUUUUGAAGUUCCCUUUCCAAGUCCAACAACAAAAGUAGUGUCCAACCUUAAAAUGGGCAUGUGUGGUAUUGACAGGAAAUGAUAAGAUGAAAAUCAUAACCAUAGUCAUGUUCUCUCUGUGUCUUUCUAUCCUCUUCAAUUAAUUCAUGGGCACAGAUAUUUUAUUUAGUUUUUAUAUUUAGUUUAUUUAGUUUCUAAAAUCCAAUUAGCUAGAUAUUUUAUUUGAUUUUGUUUUUAUAUUUAAGUAGUUAAGUUUUGGAAAGUUUUUAUAUUUUGUUAAUAAAAAUAGAUAUGAGGACUUAAAGGGUUUAUAUUUAGGUAGUGCUUGAGCCAAGGAAAAUGAUAGUCCACUGUCUUGACCCUAUGCAUCACAAACCAUGUGAGGACUUAAAGGAUAUCGUAAACAUGUAAGUUCUUCCUAUUAUUUUUCAUAGUAUUAUUUUUAAAUAAAAAAAAAUACAUUCACCUCAAACACAUUUUUUUUAUUAUUUAUAUAUAUUAAAACAUAUAACAUUUACCUAUUUUAAAAAUGUACCCAUUGAACUUAUUUACAUAGGGCUCUUCGAAUAUCUGCAAAGAAAACAUCUAAGAGGGAGCCAUCUUAGCAACUAGUGCAGGUGACAUCCAAAAAUUUUUCUUUACACAUUAGCUUAUGCAUUUGCACCAUUUAUAUAUGUGAGUACUAAUGUUAUUUUAUAAUUGAUCGAUUAGUGUCCAAGACAAGAAGGAGGGUUCGAAUGUGGCUACUUUGUUAUGAGAUUCAUUAAAGAGAUAAUUUUUUAUCCUACAAUUAUUGCUUCAAAGGUAUUACUUAUUUAAUGAAUUGUACAUAGUUUUAGGCUUCCAAAUGUUAUGCAUUUUAAUGUUAUUUUCUUAUUUGCUUUAAGUUUGGUAAUAAAAAAACAUAUUCUCAAGUAGAAUUUGAUGAAAUUAGAGGAGAAUGGGCUACUUUUGUGCUACAACUAAUCAUGAAUCAUGUUGAUGCAUCAUGAUCACCAUGCAUGGUGAGUCCCUUAGCUACUACAUGAAUUUUUCCAUAGGUAUUGUAUAGUAAUGUUUAUUCUUUGAAUAAUGUUUCUAUUUGAAAAAAAAAAAAAUUAAUUCUUAGAUUUGUUCAUUUAUGAUAACAUAGAUCCAUGUUUAUUUUCUUCAAUAAAAAUCUCUAAAACUCAUUAAAUUUUGAAAUGCAGGUAUACACUCUUGGGAGGGUGAAAUGGAGAAUAAAAAGAAAGAAGAAGGCAACAAGAUUUUGGGUUUUUAAAUGCAACUCUUAUGUCAUACGUUGUAGGACAUAAAUGUUACUUUAAUUGCAACUGAGAAAUUUAGAUUUUUAUAUGGGACUUCUAUGUCAUUUUAUGGUUAGUCGGUUUUAUGCUUAUGAAAUGGAGGUAUACAUGAAUCUUGGGAUCUUUAACAUUUCUAAAUCAUGUUUUGGUAUGUAUUCACUCUUCUUUUUUAGUUUUGAUGGGUUUGAUAUGUUGGACGUACUAUCCUUUUGUGAACAUUUGAUAUACAAAUAUUAUUAGAUGAUCAAUGUAUUAUGAGUUAUUCCAGAAACAUUACAGAAAAAUGAGUUAAAUAUAAUAUGAUUGUUAUAUUUAUGGACAAAAUAUAAACAGGUUAAUCUUAUUAAUUCAUAAGCAUUACAAAAAUCAACAACUAAAACCAAUCAUAUAUUCCACAAUAAUUUACAAUGAUGUGAUACCAUAACUGAAAGGUGAUGCAUUUAAUGUGACAUCAUAACUCAAAGAUGAUGUAUUUAAUGUGACACUCUAUCAUCACUAGAAAUAUAUGGUGUCACUUCUGAAUGGGUCACCAUUUAUCUACUUUGGUGUCACUUCCAAAUACGUCACCAAUUGGUACCCUCUAUGGUGUCAAUGGAGAAGGUGACGCUAUGUUGUAGUGACAUCUUAUGUUUAUGGUGACUCGUUAUAAAUGUCACCAUAUACCUUUUUCCUUGUAGUAGAAUUAUCUUUUGGGGGUAGAUGGACUCCCAAAUUAACAAAAGGUCAUAUAACUCUUCAAAUUGAGUUAAAGGAUAUGAAAUAGUAACAGAUAAAUAUACUCUUUAAGAACACAUAUAAAAUAUUUUAUAAAAUUAAGUUAAAUAAUUUUUUUUCAAUAAUUUUUUUUUCAAAAAUACUAAAUUAAAUAAAAGUAGUUUUCAAAAAUAUUAAAUUAAAUAAUUUUUUUCAAAAAUAUUAAAUUAAUUUUUUUUUCAAAAAUAUUAAAUUAAAUUAAAGUAUUUAAAAAAAAUAUUAAAUUAAAUAUUUUUUAAAAUAUUAAAUUAAAUAAAAGUAUUUUAAAAAAUAUUAAAUUACAUAAAAGUAUUUUUAAAAAAUAUUAAAUUAAAUAAAAAAAUAUUAAAUUAAAUAAAAGAAUUUUUCAAAAAUAUUAAUUUUUUUCUCAAAAUCAACAAAGGGCAUUUUUGGAAAUACUGAAGGAUGAUAUCCUUCAACUCAAUUUUCAUACUUUCAUUGGGUCUUGGGCUCAAUUUGGAGAGUUACAUGGACCUUUUGCUAAUUUGGGGGCCCAUCUACCCCCAAAACAUAAUUCUCCCAUAAUUUUAUAUGUUAUGUCAUCUAUAUUAUUUUUAACUUCUUAAUCAAUAACAAUUUAAUACAUAAGUUUCUAAAUUCUUAUAGAAGUUUGAAUCUUUCCAAAAUUUAUUCCUAAGAUUCUAUUAAUUUAUUAUUAUUUUUUAAAAAUUAAAUUUCUCAAAAAUAUAUUUUUUCUAUUUAUUACAUUAAACUAUUAUUAUUACUAAUAUUUCAUUUAUUAGCUUAAAAUUAAAUAUUUUUAUUUUUAUUAAUUUUCAGAUUCAUUACAUAACCAAGGCAUUACCCUCUGUAUUCAGUGCACACACAACCCAAAAUAAAAACAAGGUUUCUUCCUACUGUCAUCAUUAUCAUUUAUUAUUAUAAUACUUUUUAUUUUCAACAUCUAACUUCCUUUCCAGUGCACACGCUUUUUCUUUCUAUCUUGUUUUUUUUUUCUUCUCAAGCCUACACUACUCUGCCACUCCACGUCCCCUCAUGUCUUCUAUUUGUUUAUUUAUUAUUAUUAUUAUAAUCCAUUUGUUUUCUUUUUCAAAAACAAUCUCGUGGUCAAGAUUCAUUUUUCUUUCUUAUAUUUUUUUCCUCAAUCUAAAGCCCCCAUAACUGAACUAUUUUAUUUAUUUCGUUUAAACCUAUAAUUUAUUUUCUUCUAUUUGUAUUUAUUUAUUUUAUCUAUUCAAUUGAAUAUUCAAAAUUUUCCUAUCUCCAUUAAUAAAUUAAUUUGUAUUGAUAAAUUUUUAAUAUUUUAAUCUAAAAAAAAUUAAAUAAACAAAUUAUAAUUUAGAUUAAAAUCUUUAAAAAUAAUUUUAAACGAAUCAAAACUAAUUAAGAAAAUUAAAAUAAUAAUUUCAAAGUUAAAAUUUUAUUUAUAAAAUUUGAAUUUUAAACCCUAGACUUUUAAAUCAUUAUCUUUACGUUUUUCAAUUCUUUAGCUAAAAGAGUUUUACUCAAAAGAAAAAAUAAAAAAAUUCUAAUUUAUUGGUAAAGAUAUUUAAUAGGGAAAGACUUUUUUAUUAUUGUUUAAUUUAUUUUAAUUAUGAUUUUAGCCUUGGAUUUGGUGCAUUACAGAAAUUUUUUAAAAAGUAAGAUAUUUUUAUUCAUUUAAAAUUUUUAUUUAAAACUUCAAACCUUGACUUGACAAAUUUUGGCCCAUAAAUCGAAGAACUUUAUGUGAAAGGUGUAGCUAUCCGAACCCUUCCUCCUCGAGGGAACGUGAAUCAUAAUUUUGUUGCUGGUUUUACAUUAAAAUGUGAUAAAUCUAGGAGUCAAUCUUCAACCAAGACCAACCACCAAUCAUACAAAAACGAUAAAGAAAAUAGAGUGAACCAGCAAAGCCCUGUCGUCAGUUCCUUUGCCCUGCAAUACUAUCCAGCCACUAGUGUCACUCCACCACGCAAAGCCCUCGAAACAUCCCUUUCGUUCUCUCUUUGCAGUAACUGCUAGUUAGUGAUGGAGCAAACUGAGCUGGUCUUCAUCCCAUUUCCUACCAUCGGCCACCUUUCGUCUGCACUGGAGAUUGCAAAGCUGCUUACUCAGCGAAACCCCCGAUUCUCAGUCACGAUCUUCAUCAUAAAGUUUCCGUUUGAGACCAUUGAUGGUAUGGACACGGACUCUGAUUCCGUACGGUUCGUCACACUUCCUCGUGUAGAGGUCAGCUCCGGAGCGACCCCGUCUGGUCUCUUCCUCUCUGAAUUCCUCAAAGCUCACAUACCACUCGUCAGAGACGCUGUCCACGAGCUCACUCGCUCCAACCCGGUUCGGCUCGCUGGGUUCGUUGUUGAUAUGUUCUGCACCCACAUGAUUGAUGUGGCCGAUGAGUUUGGGGUGCCUUCCUAUCUCUUCUUCCCUCCCAGCGCUGCUUUUCUUGGCUUCCUGUUGCAUCUGCAGUUCCUCCAUGAUUAUGAGGGCUUGGAUAUUAAUGAGUUCAAGGACUCGGAUGCUGAGUUGGAGGUUCCAAGUUUUGCUAACUCAGUUCCGGGUAAGGCCUUUCCUUCUUUGAUGAUUGACAAGGAAAGUAGAGGGGCCGAGAUGCUUCUUCAUCACACGAGGAGAUUCAGACACGUCAAGGGUAUUCUGAUAAAUACAUUUAUUGAGCUUGAAUCACAUGCUAUUCAAUCACUUUCUGGCAGUACAGUACCCGUAGUGUAUCCGGUUGGACCCAUACUCAACACCAGAAGGGGAUCUGAUGGGGGUCAACAAGAUGCUAGUGCCAUCAUGAGCUGGCUUGAUGAUCAGCCUCCAUCAUCCGUGGUUUUCCUGUGCUUCGGGAGCAUGGGAAGCUUUGGUGCGGAUCAAAAUCAAGGAGAUAUCACAUGCGUUAGAGCACAGUGGGCAUCGCUUCUUGUGGUCCCUUCACCAACCUCCCCCAAAGGGUAAAGUGAUUACAAGCGACUAUGAAAAUAUUGAGGAAGUUCUACCAGAAGGAUUUUUACAUCGGACGGCUAGAAUUGGAGGGGCUCCACAAAUAGCGGUUUUAGCCCACUCAGCUGUUGGAGGAUUUGUAUCUCAUUGUGGAUGGAAUUCUUUGCUAGAAAGCAUAUUGUACGGUGUUCCAGUAGCCACAUGGCCAAUAUAUGCAGAACAACAAAUCAACGCAUUUCAAAUGGUGAAAGAUUUGGGGUUGGCGGUAGAAAUUAAAAUUGAUUACAAUAAGGAUCGUGAUCAUAUUGUAAGUGCUCAUGAGAUUGAAAAUGGAUUAAGGAACCUAAUGAAUACUAAUUUUAUUAAAGACAUGGUGGCCAACAUUCCAUGCAAGCAACAAAGACGUGACACCUAAUGUAUGAAUUAUUUUAUAAAAGGUGCAUUGCAGGCUCUAAUAAAUUAAUUUAUCAUAUGCUUUAUUUUAAUGUUCAAAUAAUUUCUUUAAUAAAGUCAAGAAAUUUGACCUUUCAAACUAGGAAAUGUGCUAUCUCUUUAUUAUUUAGUAAAACAAGUUUACAAGGGAAUGAAUUUAGUCAUAUGUCGAUCUCAUUGAUCAAUGAAUACACAAUUGAGCAUUUUCCGGUACUAGUAAUAAAAUUAACUAUAUAAUUAAAAAUCAACAAACCCUAUUGGUUUGAGACAAUCUUCAUAAGUGUUUUUUCUAAAUAUUUUUUAUAUUCUUAUGUGAUUGAAUAUAUUUUGGAUUAUGACUUAUAUGAUUUCUCACAUUUCUAAUCAAAAGCAAUAAUUAAAUCCCAAUAAUCAACCUAUAUGAUAACGGAAUCAGUUUAAAAGUUACUAAUUUAAUAUAUCCUAUUUAUGUACAAAAAAUUGUGAGUAUUGUCCCGAAAUAUGUUUCUAAUAUCAACAUAACAUUUCUUCCUCAUUUUGUUUGGCUAAUGAAAAACCAUUAGAAAAAAAAUAUAUAGAUAUUUGAUUAAAAUGAUUAAAAUAGUCUCUAAUUCGAACAAUGCUCUUUUUUAAAAAAAAAAACAAUAUCGAAAAUGAUAAUAUUUUUUUAAUAAAAAUAUCAUUCAUUUAUGUUAAAGCAAUUUGAAAAAAAGAUAUUUUUAUUCAUUUAUAUUUUUUAUUAAUAAAAAUAUCAUUCAUUUAUGUCAAAGCAUUUUUUUUAUUUAUAAGUAUUAAUAUAUUUUUAUUCAUUUAUAAUUUUUAUUUAGAACUUUAAACCAAUAGAAGAUGGCUUUACAAAUUUUGGCCCAAAGAUCCCCAAGAACUUUAUUUGAAAGGUGUAGCAUAUUCGAACCCUUCGUCCAGGGAACAUGAAUCAUAAUUUCGUUGCUGGUUUUAUAUUAAAAUACAUGGGAUACAUCGAGAAACCCACUUUUGCCUCAAUUUUCAACCAAGACCAACCACAAUCAUAGAAAAACGAUAAGGAAAAUAAAUUGAACCAGCAAAGCCCUGACAUCACUUCCUUUGUCCUCCAAUACUAUCCAGCCACAAGUAUAAGAGUGUCACACCACUGCAAAGCCCUCAAAACAUCCCAUUUUUCCUCUCUUUGCAGUAACUGCUAGUUAGUGAUGGAGCAAACUGAGCUGGUCUUCAUCCCAUUUCCUAUCAUCGGCCACCUUACGUCUGCACUGGAGAUUGCAAAGCUGAUUACUCAGCGAGACCCCCGAUUCUCAAUCACGAUCAUCAUCAUGAAGUUUCCGUUUGAGUCCAUUGAUGGUAUGGACACGGACUCUGAUUCCAUACGUUUCGUUACACUUCCUCCUGUAGAGGUCGGCUCCAGUACCACGCCGUCUGGUUUCUUCCUCUCUGAACUCCUCAAAGCUCACAUCCCAGUCGUCAGAGACGCCAUCCACGAGCUCACUCGCUCCAACUCGGUUCGUCUCGCAGGGUUCGUUAUUGAUAUGUUCUGCACCCACAUGAUUGAUGUGGCCAAUGAGUUUGGGGUGCCUUCCUAUCUCUUCUUCACUUCCAGCGCUGCUUUUCUUGGCUUCCUGUUGCAUCUUCAGUUCCUCCAUGAUUAUGAGGGCUUGGAUUUCAAUGAGUUCAAGGACUCGGAUGCUGAGUUGGAUGUUCCGAGUUUCGCGAUCUCAGUUCCGGGUAAGGUCUUCCCUUCUCGGAUGUUUGACAAGGAAAGCGGAGGGGCUGAGAUGCUUCUUUAUUACACGAGGAGAUUCAGAGAAGUCAAGGGUAUUCUGGUAAAUACAUUUAUUGAGCUUGAAUCACAUGCUGUUCGAUCACUUUCUGGCAGUACAGUACCCAAGGUGUAUCCCGUUGGACCCAUACUCAACACCCGAAUGGGAUCUGGUGGGUGUCAACAAGAUGCUAGUGCCAUUAUGAGCUGGCUUGAUGAUCAGCCUCCAUCGUCAGUUGUUUUCCUGUGCUUCGGGAGCAGGGGAAGCUUUGGUGCGGAUCAGAUCAAGGAGAUAGCAUAUGGGCUAGAGCACAGUGGGCAUCGCUUCUUGUGGUCCCUUCGCCAACCUCCCCCAAAGGGUAAAAUGGAUUUUCCAAUCGACUAUGAAAGUAUUGAGGAAGUUCUACCAGAAGGAUUUUUACAUCGGACAGCUAGAAUUGGAAAGGUGAUUGGAUGGGCUCCACAAGUAGCGGUUUUAUCCCACUCAGCUGUUGG
rnacentral:lncRNA from 1 species